rnacentral:lncRNA from 1 species
ACAUGAACAACCUUAGUUGCGACGAGUAGAUCUGUUAUGAAAUAGCGUAUCGUUUGCGUUCAUUUAACUUUAGAUCAUGCUAAAAGAAAGAAGGAAGUGUCUUAACAUAUCUUUGCAAUCUUCUCUCCAAUCGUCAACCAAUCUCAAUAAUAUCUUCUUACAUCUACAAUGAGUAAACUGACUUUGUCGUCAUCACAUAAGCGUUGUAACUCUCAUAUGUCAAAACCAAUAUUCUACAAGAAAACAGACAGCAUCUCCCCUAUUUGUACUACAUCCCAUAAGUUACUAAAAGUCACCAAAGAUCCCAAACAACAACUAGUAGCUAUAUGGAACACAACCAGUACAAUAACACGUCGAGCGGCAAUCUCGGUUCAUGUCUAAUAACACUAUAUUUUGAACCCUUUCCCUCUUAUUUAUAUUCAGGAAAAUGCUGAUAAUCACAACACAAUAUACUCAGGUUAUUCCAUAAAUUUUCCAGAUACAAACGCUGCAAGAACAUCUCCCAAACAGUCCAACAAUCAACAACAUUACUAACAAGCCUUUCGAUCGAUAUCUCACACGCUCUAGAUUCAACGACUUAGCCGUAACUUGGAUAGGCUUAAAUACAUGUAGAGUAAUAGGUUCCUUACCUUUAAUAAGAUAUAACAACUCCAAUUUGAUCUUAGUUCACCACAAAAUAUCCUUCCAAUGCAGCCACAAGAACAAGGAAGCGAAACUAGCAAUCAAUUCGGGUUUCUCGGCACUAGAAUCACUUUGGAAGACUUGAAAUCACCUAGGAUUGAUAUGAAAACCUUGAGAGAGUAUUUUACAGAAAUUAAACCACUUUAAAAAAACUCCCUACACGAGCUGUAACCACACCAAAAUCAGCAACCACAAGAAGAACAAGAAACUCACUAGCGCCACGGGAUUCCCGUCACUCGAUUUGUGUUGUUUGCCCUUAGUUUGGGUGUUGGAUCAUGAGAGAAAUUUGAGAGAAAGUUUUUAGGCAUCUAGGGUCUGAAGAGAGUGAAAAAUAAUAAGUUAAAACGGGAUUUAGGCAUCACAUAUAUAUCAAGAUAUCUCAACCGCCUAAGUGGAUCCCAUAUAGAGUUGCUUGUGCAGUCUCGCAAAAAUGCGAAUAUCUCUUUACUCCAAUAUCGUAUCAAUAAACGGUUUAAUGCGUUGGAAACUAGACUCGUAGAAUUUCAAAUUGAUAUGUGGAUCACCUCGUAAUUAUUGUUUUAUUGAGAGAAAAUCUCGGCUACAUUUGACCUAAUUAGCAGCACAUUUAUGAAUAUAACUUGUGAUGACCUUUGCCAACUUUUGUUCCACAAUUCGCUUGACUGCAAAACUCAACAUACGACUAUCAUAAGACUAUAAUAACUCAUAACAUAACCUUCUUAUCAUUUUAAGUACCCUAGUCUCACCCCAAAAGUAUAUAUUAUUAUAUUCCCAACUUGUCGACUUUCGACGAAACUUAUUUUCUUCAAUUCGUUUAGCUUCUAAGCCUUCCAACCCUCUUGGUACUUUUUAUUUAUGAUCCUAAAUAUUUGUAACCUCCAAGGUAACAUGAUUAACUUAAUUUAUAUGCUUCCAAAUAUAAUCUAAUUUCUGAGCUUACAUCAAUUGACUUACGGCGUACUCUUACGUACGAAAACAUGGGGUGUAACAUUGACCAAGCGAGCCCGGGGUUGACUUCUGUUGACUUUUUCCAAAAUCAUUAAAGAUUGAAUAUUUUUCACUCGUGGGGUAGUUNNNNNNNNNNNNNNNNNNNNNNNNNNNNNNNNNNNNNNNNNNNNNNNNNNNNNNNNNNNNNNNNNNNNNNNNNNNNNNNNNNNNNNNNNNNNNNNNNNNNNNNNNNNNNNNNNNNNNNNNNNNNNNNNNNNNNNNNNNNNNNNNNNNNNNNNNNNNNNNNNNNNNNNNNNNNNNNNNNNNNNNNNNNNNNNNNNNNNNNNNNNNNNNNNNNNNNNNNNNNNNNNNNNNNNNNNNNNNNNNNNNNNNNNNNNNNNNNNNNNNNNNNNNNNNNNNNNNNNNNNNNNNNNNNNNNNNNNNNNNNNNNNNNNNNNNNNNNNNNNNNNNNNNNNNNNNNNNNNNNNNNNNNNNNNNNNNNNNNNNNNNNNNNNNNNNNNNNNNNNNNNNNNNNNNNNNNNNNNNNNNNNNNNNNNNNNNNNNNNNNNNNNNNNNNNNNNNNNNNNNNNNNNNNNNNNNNNNNNNNNNNNNNNNNNNNNNNNNNNNNNNNNNNNNNNNNNNNNNNNNNNNNNNNNNNUCAUGGUUGAGCAUUGAUUUGAUUGCAGAGUGAGGUAAGUGUUGUGUCUAACCUUCAUUUGAGGGAAUUAGGACUUGUUGAAUUAUUUUUUAUGUGUAUUAAGUGGGGAAGCAGCGUAUAUGUGAGGUGACGAUUGUAUAUGUGCUGUCACGGGAUUUAGCAUGCGAGGUUGGAGUAUUUACUUUCAUGUUUUCAUUUGUUCCAUGUUAUUUCGUGUUAUAUCCUUUAACUGUUACAUGUUUUUGUUGUACCCUAUUUUGACAAGUCAAAACAAAAUACAGCUUAUACUACUCUACAUGGUUAUUUAAAGCUUAGAGUCGCCACCUAGUAUUUAAGGUAUACUAGGACACCUACACUAUACUACUCAAUGUACGCUAAAUUAUGGUCUGUGAAACUAUUGAGAUUCUAGGUAAGGGUUCAAGUUAUCUCGAGGGGAAGGUGUUAGGCAUCCCUCAAGAUCCACAAAAUAUGGUUCCGAUGGACUCAAUCAAAUAGAAGAGGGAUUAAGUGAAAAUGAUUAAUUUUGAUAUGUACAAAGAACGGUAAAGUAGUUUGAAUGAAAAAUGAUUGAACAUGAAUGCCAAGAUAAUAGUUUAUAUACAAAGGGUGUGAAAUACGUAUGUGAAAAAAUAUAUAUUUUGAUGACUUGGUAAAAGGUAAAGAAAAUGUGUAGUAACAAGUAGAGUAUUAAUAAAUUAACUAAACAAAUUGUAGUUAAAGAAUGUACUUGAAAGAAUGUAAUUUAUGUCCAAAGUAACUAUUUUGAGUGAGAGGCUAAUGUAAAAGAAAAGGAAAACAUAUUUUAACAUGGUUGGCCAAAAGCGGGAAAGAAUUACAUUUUUGAAAAUCGGUGCACAAGACAUAAAGAGAAUGUCACGACCCAAAUUUUCCACCUUAGGAUGUCAUGAUGGCACCUAGUCUCUAAGACUAGGUAAGCCUAACAUGCAUAGAGAAAUAGCGGAAAUAAUACUAAACCUCAAAUUAAACCAUUACACUAUUAUAAUAAAACUCAACAGUACAGUAGCCAACACUUCCCCAAAACCUGGUGGAACAGAGUCAUAAGCUUUACAAGAAAGUACUAAUAAUAUGAUACUAUUUUGGGACAAGAAAUAAACAGUAGAAAGUCUAAAAAAUAGAAGAUGACUCCAAGGCCUGCGGGCACCGGGCAGGUAUACCUUGAAUUCUCCGGAAGACAGCUAACAAGUCAAUCAUUAACGUCCAACACCGGCAGAUGGACCUGGAUCUGUACAAAAGAUGUGUAGAAGCGUAGUAUGAGUACACCAUAACGGUACCCAGUAAGUAUCAAUCCUAACCUAGGUAGAGUAGUGACGAGGAUAAGUCAAGACACCUACUAGGACAUAAUAAAUAGAACAAAAAUAUAAUAACGAGAAGUAAUGAAAACGGAGAAAUGAAUGAUAACAAAGCAAUCUGGUAACGUAAACUAAUGACAGAAUUGUAAGCAGAAAGACAACAAGAAGGGCACAAUUAAUGAGAACCUCAAAUAAUCAAAUGCGGACAAACUAUUAUGACAAGGAAACAUAAAAACAACAAGAACGCUUCAACCAAUAACUCUUUUCGAUGUGAAGUGCAAAACAAGAAUCACAUCCGAGGUACUGUCUCGUGUUCAUGUUUCACAAUUUUAAUCACUAUCUUUCCUUAUAUCAUUGCGGGAGCCUCACAUUUAGUUUUGAAAAUCAUUAUUCCCGAAAUAGCUACCCGCAUUUUAGCCCACCUAAUCACACUGCGUGGCUUCAAGUAGUUCCCCUACUAGCAACACGCGUAUCAAGCCCACCUUAUCUCAGUGCAUGCGUAUCAACCCCUAGCCUUAUACCACCGCAUGCGUAUCAAUAUCACAACUCGCACCACAAGUGCCCAUAUGCCACAAACUUGCCAAAAGAAUCAACAAUAUCAAUGUUUUCACAAGAAAUAGCCCAUGGCUCAACCACAAUGUGCACAAGAAUCUCAAUAAUAACAAAAUGAAAGUGAAUUUCUCAACAAGAAAGAUAUCUCAACAAUUAACAACCUCACCUUAAUAUGAUAACGACUUUCUCAACUUUAACACCAAUAAAUCAACAAUAAGAUAUUUCACGAAAUAACAACUUCAAUUACAAUUAAUUCAAUAAAUUUAAAUGAAACAAGGCAAUAACUUCAACUAAGCAUAUGAGAGAAAAAUGACAAGUAAGAGGUAGAACAAGUGUUAACAAUGUCAUAUAAAGCAUGUAAGGGUAGAUUAAUACAUGUAAGAGUUAAUUAACAAUGAGGGAUGUAACAUGUUAUGGCAAUUCAAUUAAAGGCAUGAAAAGAGUCUAAAUAACCUAAACCGGUCAAAUACCACAUAUAAUCCGUGUACGCACUCAUCACCUUGCAUACACGGCUUUCACAUAACAUAAAUAUAAUAAUAAAUCCCAAAUCCUAAGGGGUAGUUCCCCCACACAAAGUUAGGUAAGAUACUUACCUCAACUAGGCCAACUCAACCCUCGAAAAUAGCUUUUCCCCUAAAAUUCGCUUCCACAUGGCUCAAAUCCAACCAAAAUUGACUUAAUAUCAUCAACCAAUGCAAGGGAAACAAUUAAAAUAGAUAAAGCUAUGAUCUUUACACUUUUUUCAAAAAGUCAACAAAAGUCAACCCUAGGCUCGUACGAUCAAAACCUGGGUCCAAUGGUAGAUUCCGAUCACCCAUAACCCACGAGUCCAUAUAUGUGAUUAGUUUCAAUAUCCGAGUCCAAAUAGACUCUCAAAUUCUCAUUUUUCAAAAACUUGGCAAACUUUCCCAAUUUUUUCUCUUUGAUUCACAUAAAUUUGAUGUUAAAUAUAAGACAUAUUCAUGAAAUAUAUUUGGAAAUUGAUUAGAAUCACUUACCCAAUAUUUGUAGAUUAACCCCCCCCCCCCUCUCCAGAUCGCCUCCUACCGAGUCUAGGGUUCUAAAAUAUGAGAAAUGAGACUAAAUCCUGACUUUCCAGCCCUUAUGUUCAGCUGCAGAUGUCACAUUUGCGACAAUGUGAACCCUCACAAUUGUUGACCAGGGAUCACAUAUGCUAACCCUGAUAGCCUCAACAAACAUCACAAUUGCGACAAAGGCUUCGCAAUUGCGAAGCUGGAUAGCUUUGCAAAAGCGACCAAGUGGUCCAGAAUGCGACUCAUGCCCCAGGCCUACUAACUUCACAAAUGCGAAGGGGUAAGUCACAAUUGCGACAUCAAACCACCCCCGAUCACCUUCGCAAUUGCGACAACAAAGCACUAGCACACCAGCACACCAACAAUUCUUUUUUCCAUUCAAACCAUUCUGAAUCACGUCCGAAACUCAUCCAAGCCCUCGGGGCUCCAAACUAAACAUCCACACAAGUCUAAUAACAUCAUACGAACUCGCUCGCAUGAUCAAAAUACAAGAUCACAUCUAGUAAACUUCAAGAACAUCUAGAAUUGCAACCAAGCGUCUGAAUCCUACCAAAUCAACUCCAAUUGAUACCAAAUUUUGCAGACAAGUUCUAAAUAGCAUAACAGACCUAUUCCACGUCCAAAAAUCCAAUUCUAAACCUGAUAGCCAAAAGUCAACCUACAUUCAAACUUCUAAACCCGAGGGCCACUGAUUAGCAUCGCCAGAUAACUCAUCAAUAAUUGUAACUAUCUCCUUUGGAGUCUUCUUCAUCAAUGGGCCUCCAGAUGCAUUGCUCAAUGUUCUACAUGAGGCCGAUGUCAAUCCAUCUCAAAAGUCCUGUAGUUGCAUCCAAAGUUCAAUUCCAUUAUGUUGACACUUUCUAACUAUCUCCUUAAACCUCUACCAUGCUUUGAUAAUAGUCUCGGUCUCUUUCUGGCAGAAGUUAUGGAUUUCUCUUCUAAACUUGCCCAUUUUAGCUCAGGAGAAAUAUUUAUCAAGAAAUUUUCUGGUCAUCUCCUCCCAUGUUCUAAUUGACACCGUGGGUAAGCUUCGAAGCCACUGCUUUGCAUCAUCUUUGAGUGUGAAGGGGAAUGCCCUUAAGUAUACUGCGUCUUGUGACACACCAUUGUAUUGAAAGGUGUUCAUAAUCUCCUUGAAGUCUAUUAGAUAUGUAUUUGGAUCUUUUUUCAUCUUCCCUUUGAAAACAUAGCAAUUCUGAAGGGUUUGAAGCAACCCUUGCUUCAAUUCGAAAUUGUUAGCUGCACUUGGAGGUGCUCUCACACUUGAUAAGCCUUGAUUGUAGAUCGGUCUAGAAUGAUGCCCAGUGAUCUCCCAGGCAUGGGAGCUAUAUUUCCGAACUGGUCUGCAGCCAAGGGUUGAUUUUGAGCAAUUCUCUCACCCCUCUCUCCUUCAUAGAUAAUUUAUGCUUCUCUGAUAGCUGCUUCCUCAGCAUCCCGUGCAGCUUUUUCUCAUUGUUAGGCUGCCUCUCUUGCAGCCAAAUCUACAUUAUCAUCACCGUUUCCCGUCAUAAUUUCCUUGGUUGAGGAUUGCCCAACCCUUUCUAAUGUCUCGGUGAGAUUUAUUGCCUUCCUCAGCUAUAACGAUUAUUUUUCUAUCUCUGGCUUGUAUGGUAUCACUUCUUUCGCAUAAGCUCGAGUCAUGCACCAACCUUAACCUAUAACCUGCGCACAACCAAAGAACACUAAAUGUAAAAAGAGAAAAUAGAAAUAAAAAGAAAAAAAGUCGUGAAUUUGCACUACAAUCUAUUUCAAACAAUAUUGAUUGCCAAUCCCCGGCAACGGUGCCAAAAUUUGACGAGUGCAAAACACACCCUUAAAUUCUUCUCGCUAAUCAAAUAUAGUAUAGUAUAAUAUUGUAUCUACAGGGAUUGGAUUUAAAUAGUAUUCUCGUAGUUUCUAGCUUGGUUGCUAUCCAAGAUGAUCAAAAAUUGAGAUUUAUAAGAUGUCUAACUAAAAUUAACUAAGAAUCUAAACCUAUUGACUAAUGACAAUCGAAACAAGGAAUAAGCAAAUAAAGUUAUCAAUGGGAGAAGAUAGGGUUUUGAUAGAAUAGAUGCAAGAUAAUUGUUUGGGAUCUAACUCUAGAUAAUUCAUUUCUAAUGUUCAAGUGACUCUCUCGAAUUCACUCAAUUAGUAGAUCAAACGUUAGGAAAAACUCCUCUCUCGAUUAAGUCUUAACCUCAAAAGAUGAACCAAUUUAAGCACGCGAAGAUAUGCAAGAAUACGUAAUGGAUUGGUCUUUAGGAGAACCUCUUUCGAUUAUUCGCCUAACUAGGUUUAAUAAAUGAUUCAACUAGCCUCUUUCAAUUACUUAGAAGAAUCUAUGAACUCAACCAAUAAUAUAAUGCAAAGAUAUCACAAAUUAUGCCUCUCUCGAUUACAUGAAUAAGUGAUUAUAGAUGCAAUAAUUAAUUCAUCCAAAAAAUGAUUCAAUACAUAAACUAGAGUUAUAAUCCACAAACAAUCAUCAAUAUACCAAAUCCAUCAAACCCUAAAAAGAACUACUCCAUAGAUAUGGAGGAAUUCAUCACAGAUAAAAUUAAAUUAUAGAAAACAUAAAUUCAAUCCAUACACGGGUCUUGAGUGAGGAAGGAAUGAUGAAAUCCUUAUGCUUGUGUUCUUCCAACUCCGACUUAGCCUUCUCAGGUCCAAAGUAUGUCGAAAGUCCCAAACAUAACAUUUUUUCCAUGUAUUUAUACUAAGUAGGGUUGGGCCCAAAUGAAACCACCUUCUCCUAGCCGAAAUAGGAUAUUGGCUCUGUAAAAAAUACACAGGUGUGUCGCAUGGGGCGACGCGCCAUGCGGGGCAUUAGUGGGGAAAUCUAGAGAGCUCAACAAUUGACAGGCAGUAGGAAAUAGGCAGUUGCAGCGCCCCACAUGCCACGACAGUGGGGUUUUCUCAGAGUACGACUUAAACUUCGAUUUUUGAUGUCUAGACUUGGUUCUCGACCCCCGAACACAAUCCCAGCUUAAUCCCUUGGGCUUUUACUCUGACUUCAAAGCUCCAAAUUGCUCGAAUUCAUUCUAUAAUAUCUACAUAGCUCGGGAUCACUCCUAUAAGGAAUAGAAAACACAGUUUGUGCAAAACACUAUUAAUUAAAGCUCAAACACAAGUAAAGUGCAGUGAAUUAGAGUGCAAUAAACAACUAAACACGAGAUUAUAGUCUACCAUCAACAUCCGCAUGGUACCAUCCUUCUUCUUCACAAACAGAACCGGUGCACCCUAAGGCGACACACUAGGCCUAAUGAACCCCUUAUCAAGAAGCUCUUGAAGUUUCUCUUUCAAUUCUUUCAACUUUGCUGGUGCCAUACGAUACAGAGGAAUAGAAAUUGGCUGAGUGCCCCGUACCAAGUCAAUGCCAAAAUCAAUGUCCCUUUUGCGUGGCAUGCCCGGAAGGUCUGUAGGUAACACAUCCGGAAAGUCCCGCACUACCGGAAUAGAAUGAAUGGUAUGAGUAUCAGUACAAACAUCCCUCACAAAGACCAAAUAUGACAAACACCCCUUCCCAACCAUCCAUUGGGCCUUCAGAUAUGAAAUCACCCUACUGGAAACAUAGUCCAGAGAACCUCUCCACUCGAUCCUAGGUAACUCAGGUAUCGCCAACGUCACGGUCUUAGCGUGACAAUCCAGAAUAGCAUGACAUAGGGACAACCAAUCCAUGUCCAGAAUCACAUCAAAAUCAACCAUACUAAGCAAUAAGAGAUCAACUCUAGUAUCCAAUCCCUCAACGGUAACCACACAUGACCGAUACACUCGGUCCAAAAUAAUAGAAUCGCCCGCCGACGUAGAUACAUGAACAUGCGAAACUAAGGACUCACGGGGCAUAUCCAAAUAUUAGCAAAAUACAAUGAUCAUAUGAAUAAGUGGCACCAGGGUCAAAUAAUAUCGAAGCAUCCCUGUAGCAUACUGAGACAAUAUCUAUGAUCAUUGCGUCUGAAGCAAUAGUCUCUGGCCUAGUAGGGAAAGCAUAGCAUCGAGCCUGACCGCCACCAGACCAGCCUUCCCCUUUAGGGCAACCAGUAGCUGCCUGAGCCCCACCUCGAGCUAGCUGAGCGAGUGGUGAAGUAACUAGUGCGAAAGUCAUAACCUGACCCCUCUGCUGAACUGGACCUCCAAAAUGAUAGGGACACUAACUCCACACAUGUCCAAACUCCCUGCACUCGAAGUAGCUCUGAUCCGCCAAUGGUGGUGGAGACUGAAUCGAACCAUGAGAACCAGUAUAGCUACUAGAAGAAUCCGGUACAGAUGACCCUUGAACUGAUGGAGCACGGGAUGAACUCAGAGCUGGGAGGGAACUAAGAGAUGACUGACCCGGACGAGCACUCUAUGAACCAUGGCUAGCCGAUGCACCACGAUGAACCGGACGAGCCAUUUGAGCGGGCCUAUAAGGAUGACCCCUAUUGUGGUGGAACUUCCCUCCAGAAGAAACACCGCUGAAACCACCCGAACCACGAGGCCUCUUGGCCUCCCUCUCCUCAUGCUCCUGACUAUGGACCUACUUUAGUCGCCUAACAAUAUCAACUACCUCAUCAAACCUAACACCUGAUGCAAUCUCUCGAGUCAUGAUGAAGCGCAGUCGAUAGUUGAGGCCAUCAAUGAACCUCCUAAUCCUCUCCCUCUCUAUGGGAACCAACUCGAUCGUGUGAUGAGCCAACUAUGAAAAUCUCAUCUCAUACUAGGUCACGGAUAUACCCUCUUGGCGUAGCUUCUUAAACUGCCUAUGUAACUCCUAUAUGCGGGUCUGUGGAACAAACUUCUUUAAGAAGAGAACUAAGAAAUCAUGCCACGUAAGUGGUGUAGUGCUGGCUGUCCUGCUCAACUCAUAGGCCUCCCACCAUCUGAAGGCUACCCCCGAUAGCUGAAAAGUAGUAACUGAGACUCCACUAGUCUCCAGAAUACCCGCUGUGUGAAGGAUCCACUGGCACCUGUCUAAGAAAUCUUGAGCAUCCUCUGACUCAGCCCCACUGAAUGUUGGAAGCCUGAGCCUCCCAAACUGCUCUAGCCUCUUUUGCUCCCCGUCACUCAUAGGUGGACCCACCUGGGCCUGAGAAACUAUAACCGGCUGGGCUGGUAGUACCCCUGAUGUCUGAAGUCCCUAAACCACCUGCUCUAGAGUACGGGCGAAGGGAGUAUGAGCACCUCCCCCGGCCUGAGAAGUGGCUAGUACAGCCUAAACUGAAACCGCCUGAGCAAGGCUAAUGCAUAAAGUCAAUAUCUGGGCCAAAGUUUCCCGAUGGCCUGGAAUCACAAUGGGCACAGCUGGUACUUGAGCAUGUCUCACCGGCUCAACUACAGAUGGUAUCUACUCCUAAGCUGGAGCAACUGGUGGCUCCACAGGUGCUGCUCUAGCUGCUGUAUGAGCGGCACCUCAGCCUCUACCAUGACCCCAGUCUCUCGUGGCCCUAGCUGAUGGUAUUGGUGGCCAUUUGCCUGAUCCGGUAGCGCGUUUCCGCACCAUAUGUGAGAGAAUAGAGUAAUAGAAGUUUAGUUUCCGAAAUCAACAAAUCCGCAAGGCAAGAAUACACGAGUGAAGUUUCCUAAUGAUUCGGUAGCCUCUCGAAGAUAAUUACAGACGUUCCUAUACCGAUCCGCAAGACUCUACUAAACCUGCUCAUGACUCAUGAGACCUAUGUAACCUAGGCUCUGUUACCAACUUUUCAUGACCCAAAUCUCAACAUGUCGUGAUGACGCCUAUCACAGUACUAGGCAGGCCAAGAAUCACAAAAUAACUACUCAUUUUGAAUUAAAAUCAUGAUGUAAUAAGUUUAAUUGUAAAAAUCUCAUAAAUAACCGAUAGGAACAACCGCGACUCAACUACAAAAUCCCCAAAAUAUGGGUAUCACCGAGUACAUGAGCUAUUAAAUGUCAACAUAGUCAAAAACUUCUAAUAUAAUUGUCUGGAAAGAUAGAACAGUGCUAAAUAAACUGAAAAGAAGGAGAGUUGAGGUCUACGGAUCCCAUAGCAGCUACCUCACUAGUCUCCAAGCAGGUAAUGCUCCAAGUCUUGCAACCACCGGGUCCAGAUGCACCUGUAUCUGCACACAGAGUGUAAUAUGAGUACAACCGACCCAGUGUACUCAAUAAGUAAUAGGACUAACCUUGGGCUGAAAGCAGUGACGAGCUAAAAAAGGUACAAUCCAAAUACAGAUAACAAAAAUACAGAUAUAACAUGAAAAUGACAGUAAUGACUCAGAGAAAUUUCAUAAUCAGUUUAUACAUAGUACAAAAAUAUAGACAUGCUUUCAAGUUCAACAGUUUAGGCUCAAUACUGAUAAAAUAUGCCAAGUAUAACUAGCAAAAGGAAUGUUACAUCUCUAUGUCUACAUGUCAAAUAUGCAUGUCAACUGUAAUGCAACAUAGUGAUAAAUUCAUAUACUCAUACUCUCGGAGUAUUCAACCUCACUCAGCACGCUCAAUCACUCAGUACUCCCAAUCACUCAACACUCUCAAUCACUCAGCACUCGCACUCGGCACUCGAACGGUACCUGUGCUCACUGCUGGUAUGUCAGAAUCAGGAGGGACGAAUCCUGCCAAAGCGCUAAUAUAAGCCAACAUGGCAUGCUACGGCGUGUAACCCAAUCCCAUCAUGAAUCAAUAAAGUCUGCUACGGCGUGCAGUCCGAUCCCAUAAAUAUCACUCACACUCAGGCCCUCGGCCUCAACUCAGGCAUCAAUCUCUCCACUCUCUCGAGCUCACAAAUCUCGUGCAAAUCAGCCCAAAUAAUGAUACAUGAUGUAACAAUAAAUGAAAACAGAAACUGAGAUAUGAUAUUCAAAUGUUGAAUGUGUCUGCGUACAUAAUUACAAUUUAAACAAAUAACUCAAAAUCAUAAAAGACCUCGAUGGGUCCCAACAGUAUCAGCAUAUAGCCCAAACACGAUUUCUAGCAUGGAUCACAGCUCAAUUUCUCUAACACAUGGAGGUUUCAUGAAUAACAACAAGAUUUGAUAAUUACACAGUACCACAAAAUCAACCGAAUCACAAUUACCAAGGUGCCCGCACGCCCAUCACCUAGCAUGUGCAUCACCUCAACACCAAUCACAUAACACGUAGUUCACAAAUUCAUACCCUCAGUACAAAGUUUAGAAGUAUUACUUACCUCAAACCGUGCAAAUAAUAACUCCAACAAGCCAUUGCCUCGUGAUUCAGCCCCCGAACGACUCGAAUCUGGCCACAAACAACUUAAUAUAAUCAAUGCAAGCUAUAGGAUUUGAUUCCAUACGAUAAAGCUAAGUUCUUUAACCAAAGUCAACAAGUCAACCCAAAAAGUCAACCACAAUCCCAUGUCUCGGAAUCCAACUAAAUUUAUAAAAUCCGAACACUCAUUUAAUAAUGAGUCCAACCAUACUAAAAUCAUCCAAUUCUGACCUCAAAUCGCCUUUCAAAUCCUCAAAAUAUAGUUUAUGAUGUUUCAACAAUUUUUCCCAAUUUUUCCAACCCAAAAUGCUAAUUAAAUGGUAAAAACAAUGAUAGAUUCAUGUAUAUUAACCAAAUCCGAGUUAGAAUCACUUACCCUAAUCAAUUCCUUGAAAAUCCCUUCAAGAACCGCCUCAAUCCGAGCUCCCGAAGUCUAAAUGUGAAAUAAUACUCUAACCCUCAUUUUUAAAAUUAAAUAUCUGCUGCCCAGACGUCCUUCUUCGUGAACGCGGAAAGUGCCUCGCGUUCGCGAAGCAAAAAAUCCUCAACUGCCCAAAAUCCUCUUAUGUGAAUGCGAGACCUCCCUCACGAUCACGAUGACCAAUGAUCCCUUGACUAUGCGAACGCGAACCAACUCCCGCAAACACGACAAGCCUGGUGCCCAACCUGCCUCAUCCUUCUACGCGAACGCGAGUCCUCUCUCGCGAUCAAGAUGCACAAACCCCUUAUACCUUCGCGAACGUGAAGCACAAACUUCCCUAGUCAACCAGAUACAAUUCACGAAUGCGAACAAGGAAACCAAACACCAGAAAUUCUACAUCUCAAAAAGGCCAAACUCAAUCCGCAAUCAAUCCGAAACUCACCCGAGACCCCUGGGACCCCAUCCAAAAAUAACAACAAGUCCUAAAACACGAUACGAACUUAAUCGAGGCCUUAAAUCACAUCAAAUAACAUCAAAAAUAUGAAUCGCACACCAAUUCAAGCCUAAUGGAACUAAUGGAUUUCCAAUGUCUACACUCGAUGCAGAAACCUAUCAAACCAACUCCGAUUGACCUCAAAUUUUGCACACAAGUCAUAAAUUAUACAACGGACCUAUUCUAAUUUUUGGAACCAAAAUUCGAGCUCAGUAACCACAAAGUCAACUCUCGGUCAAACUUCUCAACUCUCCAAACUUCAACUUUUCCAACUUUCGCCAUUUCAAGCCAAAAUCACCAACGGACCUCCAAAUCAAUAUCCAGACACACUCCUAAGUCCAAAAUCACCAUACAGGGCUAUCAGAACCAUCAAAACUCCAUUCUGGAGUCAUUUACACGUAAGUCAAUAUCCGGUCUAACUCUUCCAACUUAGACUUCCACCCUUGGGACUAAGUAUCCCAAUUCAUUCCGAAACAUCUCCGAAACCAAUCCAACCACCCCGGCAAGUCAUAUAAUAACAAACGAAUAUAAAAUAAGCGAUAAAUGGGAAAAUUAGGCUAAAAUACUCAAAAUAAGCGGCGAGCUCAUUACAUCAACAGAUUUUUAACAAAGAUUAGAAUAACAAAAAUUUCAUCACGAAAACUAUGACAGUAGCAAAAUGAGCGGGAAGGACUUCCCCUGAAAACUAUAUAGGUUGCCAGAAAAUUAUAGGCACAAGAUUUAUUGUCAAAAAAAUGAUAGUAAACAUUCAGGAAUCCGACAAUAAUGAUCGACAACAGUGGACUAUUGGCGUUACUUUGAUGAGGAAUUCCGGAACAACACCUAACCUCAAAAAUACGUCGCUGGCAUUUAUUUUUUUCCGGCCAAAGCUCGAAGGCAGCAAGGAGCGAGAUAUGGUCGCUAGUGAAGGUCAUUUUUUCCAACCAGAUCUAUAUAUUUUUAGUUAGAUCUGAGUGAACCAUAACAGUCACCGGAAAAGCUAUAAGCAAAUGGAGAUGAAGAUGGUCAGUGAUGUAGAGGGAGGUCACCGGCCCGGGGGUCAAAUCCGACGGUGGAGUUACAACAUCGUGGGGAAGGGGGGCUGGGCGUGUUUUCUCAAAGUUGAGAGAAAUCAGAUGGAAGAUAAAAGGGGGAGGCCUCUGAAAAUGGAGCUAAUGAGGGGAAUGGACAGCCUCAGGCAAAAAUGAGGGAGAGAGAUUAUUUGUUUUGGUGGUAAACAAAUCUGAUGUGUUCCUUAAAAUAUAUGAGUGUGUAAAAAAAUCGCAUAUGGUGAAUGUGUAGAAAAGAUAUGUGGCUAUUAUUGUAAGUAAAAAAUAAAGACAAUGUAAAAAUAAACAUGUGGCCUAAAAUGAAACCACUAACUAUGAAAACUAUGGGCAAAGUACCGUGUACCCUUUAUUUUUCUGUGUAUGCACAUGUAUAUCGGUGCAAUUUAUUUGACUUACAAAAGAAGACAAACCGAUGAUCUUUACCUGUUGGGUAGAAGGUAUACGCAUUGGACAAAAUACAGUCAUGUCACAUCCUAUGACGUGUCACAUCAAGUAUAAUGUCAUACAAGUCACAUCACUUGUCAAGUCGCGCCAGGAUGUCUUGUUACAUCGAGUGUUGAUGCAACAUUGGAUUUGAUUGGGUUUGAUCCGUAUUUUUGAAUAAAUUCUACCGGCUUCCAUAUAAUCACUAGACUGUUCUAUAGAUUAAAAGAUCUCAUAGUAUUUAGUUAAAAUUGUAACUACUACGAUGACGUAGUAAAUUCUUGUUUAUUUUUUGAAGGACAAUAAAUUGAUAAAAUAUCAUAAUAUUUGAAAAAUAAGACAAUUAUCAAUAAAUUGUUUGAUAUUUAGAAAAAUGCACAAAAAUAGUAGUAUUUAACCAAUUGUAAUAAAAUGAUAAAAAUUCCUAUAUUUUAUAAAAAUGGGAAUAAUUAUCAAUAACUUUCAUUACAGUUAAAAAAUGUGCAAGAUACUACAUUUUAUCAUUUUUUGAUUAGGAAGCCUGUAGAAGUUAAUUUUUAAAUACGGAGGGUCAAAAUCGAGUGUCAACUACUGUCCCUCUUUGACCGGAGAUGAUAUAAGAGUCUUCGGGCAAAAUAAUUGAUAUCAUACUCAAUUUUGACCCGACAUGACAGAGUGGGGGGGAUGAUGAGGUUUUGAAGAUUGUGAUUGAACUCUGGUAUUUGUGUCACCUACAUAUCUCGGGUUGCACGAGAAUCAAGUCGCAUGUAGUUUCGGAAUGCAACUGAGUGCUACUUUUGGAUUGUAGCCUCAUGGGGUGGAAGACAAAUGUUCAAGGACGAAAGGAUUCGUGUGAUCUUGACAUUGCUUUCAAAAUUGCCCCAGUGUCGGGUUGUGGUAACACUGGGACGUGGUGUUGAAUGGACGGAUAUAUUGAUUGAAUGGAUUUUGAUGUGGAUUCGGCCAGGCUCUGUGUUGAGUUUUCCUACAUAUCUCGGAUGUAACGAGAAUCAGGACGAUUGUAGUUCGAGAAGGGGAUGGGAUGAUUUUUAAUUUUUAGAUUUUGAAAGUUGUGCCAGCUUCAAGCUGUGAUGAUACUGGGUUUAUUAUGACUAUGACUUGGAUUACCUACACAUCCCAUGUUAAUAGAACGUAAGAACGAUACUUAGGACAUGCCGUCUAUUGUUGUUGGAAAGCUCGACAUCCAUCCUCAAAAUCUGCCACAGUUUAUUUGCUAGAAAAUAAUUCCACGUUGUGGCAGGUCUUUAAUCAAUGGAGUUGAUGAUGUGUGGACUAUGCUUCUGUUUGAUUUGAGGAAGAUGGAUUGUAGUGGCUUGAGCGCUGAUUGUAUGUGACGAUGAUUUUUUUGAAUGAAAUAGGGUCCCAGGUUGAAGUCUAAUUCGAAAGAGGUUCGGGCUAAAUACCGGUCUGAAGUGAUCGGAGCACUUUGGAUUUUUAAAAGAAAUCCGGGUAGGCUACCGGUCUGAAGCGAUAUGGGAGCACUUUGAAUUAUUGAAGAAAAUCCGGGUUGUGUACCAGUCCGAAGUGAUCGGAGCACUUUAUUUGAAGAAACCUGGGUUGUGUACCGGUCCAAAUCAUAUCAGAGCACUUUGGAUUAUUAAAGGAAAUCUGGGUUGUGUACCAGUCCGAAGCAAUAUCAGAGCAUUUGAAUGAAAAAUGGAAAUUCGGGCUGAGUACCGGUCCGAGGCGAUAUCAGAGAACUUGAAUGUAAAACCAGCUGGUAGUUAUGGUUCCGAAGUGAUAUCGAAUCAUUUGAAUCUAAGAUACCCGUAUUGGAAGGUGGGCGCCUGUAAAAUUGAACUUGAAAUAAAAUGCCCAUUGUUCAGGAGGGCGCCUGAAAAAGCAAGAAGUUAUUUUUUUCUAUGUAGGAAAAUUAAUGAAAAGGGUUCUGUUAUUAAUGACUUAGUAAGGCAAUAGAUGCAAAAGGCUAGAAUUUGGAAAUGAUAUGGCCGGGUCUGACUCAGACUGCAUAUGUAUCCAAAUGGAAUCAGGCCAAAAGGUUGUUCUAUUAUGAUAGAUGAUUGAAUCUGAUGUGGAUUUCCUACGUAUUCCUACCAAAGGAAAUCAAGUCGCGACGUAGUUCUGAAUGUAUAGAAAUGAUAUUUUAGUUUUCUAUUAAGAGAGUGGGAUCAGACCCUACGUGGGUUGCCUACGUAUCCUCCCGUGGGAAGUCAGGUUGGGCGUAGUUCUGCUACAACAAAACCUAACGUUAUUGUCAACAAAACAUGACUCUUUUGUUUUUUUUGUGUUUUUUUGCUGUUUUGUAGCUUUUGUAGAGAAUAUUUGAAAAUUGAGAAGUAAUGAAAGACUGUGAUUUAUUGACUGGUCAUCAUUUUUAACUUGACUUUGGUUGGUACCAACAAUUAGUUUUAUACAUAAGAAUUUCCACCAUAUACUUUCCGACAAACCGAGAUCAGCUUAUGGGUAAUUCCUAUAACCUCGAGUGGUACCUCAGAUAUACCCAAGUUCGACAAGAUUUGUUCGUCUUGCUUCAAUCAUAGGUUUUGAAUUCCGCCUAUACUCAUGUUUCAAGUGCCUCACAACAAAGAAAGUCUUAAUUUGUGCAUAUUUAUGAAGUAUUUAUGUUUUCUUUUUAGGACAUUUUUGAGAACUACACUCACGCUCAAAAAGAUGUUCAAUGCAUGCGAUUGAGAUACCAUAUGCUUGACCUUUAUGUAAGUAUCCACUAAUGUGAGAACACUCGAAAUAGUAUCAUGUAGGGUUUUGCUAUUAGCUUAUAAUGUAGGCUUGGGGAUGGGUUAGAUUAUUAUUUUGGGAUAAACUGACUGAUCCUCCUUGAGUGUUGCAAUGUGUCUGUGCCUUCGGUAUUCAAACCAUACUUCGACGCUUGAUCUUGUUCGGCUCGAUGUCUCUUUCUUUUGUUUUGACUUCUUUUUUAACUUGUCGGAGGUUCUUCUUCCUCGAAACUUUUUCCUUUUUUUUCUUUCUUUUGAGAUUUAACCUGCUUUGCAAGAGUUUUUCCUUCUUUUGUUGGAAUUCCUCCUCUUUGAGUUUGUAGAGUUUUCUCCUUUUUGUUGGAUUUUCCCUUGAAUUUGCGGAAGUUUUCUCCUCCUUUUUGGAUCCUCCAUUUGAAUAUGCAAAGUUUUCUCUUUCUUUUCUUGAAUUCAUAUCUUUAUUGCCUUGGACUUUGCAUCUAUCGCUUUUCAUGCUUGUCGCCUCCACUUUGGUCUUCAUCCGAAGUUACACGUUUUCAGUGCGCGCAAGGAGGUUGGGCCAAGAGAGGGGUAGUGCAUUUAAGAACAAGAAAGGGAAUAGGCUAAGAUGUGGUUUUCUAAGGAAAAGGCUUAAGGCUCAAAGGGAAAUUACUAGGGAUUGAUGUCAUUCGGUGGGCUCGAAAGGAUCAAACGGGUCAAAGAAGGCCUACGAUCCUUUCCUAAACCAAGCAUCACUCAGGAUUUCUCCCCAACAAAUAUUCGGGCUAAGUUCUAGAUCAGCAAUGCAAUGUCAUGAAUUUUAAUCUAAGGCUCGCCACACAAUGCACAUGAAAUGAUGAGGUCGACUUUGUUCUUACCCUAACAGUAAGCACGAGAUUUUUCAAGUGUCACUACUGCGUAAUUGAGAGGUACCACAGGAAUCUAUGGUUUACCCAAAGCUGAUCUUCUCUAUCAUACUACUUUUAACACUCUUUCUUUCCCAUGCACACUCCUAACUAUAUUGGUACUAACCAAGUCAAUUUUUGAUUUUUUUUUCUAAUUUUGACUUAAUAUAUAUAUAUAUAUAUAUAUAUAUAUAUAUAUAUAUAUAUGUAUUUUGACUAUCUAUUGUUUUGGUUUUAGAAAAGAGANNNNNNNNNNNNNNNNNNNNNNNNNNNNNNNNNNNNNNNNNNNNNNNNNNNNNNNNNNNNNNNNNNNNNNNNNNNNNNNNNNNNNNNNNNNNNNNNNNNNNNNNNNNNNNNNNNNNNNNNNNNNUUGGUUUUUUGAAAAAAGAGACCGAACCCGAAGGUUGCCUACGUAUCUCGUUAAAAGAGAAUCAGGUCAAGCAUAAUUCAGGAGAUUAGAAAAAAAAUAUUUUUGAUUUUCAUCUCAUUUCAUUUUUUUGAAAUUUUGAAUUAAUCAUUUUAUUUUAUGAUUUUUUAUAAAAAGAAUUAAAUGUAAAAUGAGCUUUGUAGUUACCAUUCCGAAGCGAUAUCAAAACAUUGAUUGUUAGACGGGCUUUGUGGUUACUGUUCCAAAGUGAUACUGGAGCAUGGAAUGUUAGACGGGCUUUGUAGUUACCGUUCCGAAGCGAUAUCGGAGCGAUGAAAGAACUGUAAAUCUCCACAUGAUGGAGUAUUCGACGGGUUGUGUAUUGUUCCGAUGCGAUAUCAGAGCAUUGGCAUGAAUGUAAAUUUCCGCAAGAUGGGAGUGACGGGAAAGAUAAUUCGAAUCUCCAUGCAAUAGGAGUAUUCGACAAGCUAUGUACCAUUCCGGAGUGAUAUCAGAGCAUUGACAGAAAUGUAAAUCUCCGCGCGAUGUGAGUGACAGGAAAGAUAAUGCGAAUCUCCACGUGAUGGGAGUAUUUGAUGGGCUGUGUACAGUUCUGAAGCGAUAUCGGAGCAUUGACAGAACAGUAAAUCUCCACGUGAUGGGAGAGAUAAGAAUUGAAAAACUCCGCACGAUGGGAGUGGCUGAAAUGUAAUACCUUCACGCGAUGGGAGAGACAAGAAUUGAAAAAUCUCCGCACGAUUAGAGUAUUUUUUGAUUUUUUGAAAGAUGAGAUCAAACCCGAUAAGGGUCCUUGAUUGAUUUUUUUUAUUUUUUUAAAAAGGGGACCGAACCCGAAGGUUGCUUACAUAUCUCAUUGAAACGAGAAUCAGGUCAGGCCUAGUUGGGAAGAUUGGAGAGUAUGAGAUGUAUGGGUUCCAACACUUCUUUUACUCUCCUACUUUGAAGGAAUUACAACUAACAACAUUAAUUGCAUCAAAGACAUGUAGGAAGUGCAAGAGUAUAGACAAACUCAGAGAAAUGCGUCGUUGUACCUUGAUUGGGUGCGGUAUCUCUGAUGGUUCCAGAAAUAAUUUUGUCCCUCCUAUGUCCAAAGAAAAAAUUUCAAUUCAUGGGAGGAAAAUUGAUUAAUGUUGACUUGAGGCUAUGCUUGUUCAUCCUUGUCUGUCCGAGUUGCACGAGCAUGACACUUCUCGAAUGCUGACUAACAACCUGCCUCUACAACAAAGUGGGUUGACUUGUAUCGAAUCUUUGAAUUUUUAGAGUGGGAGUGAACACCAUGACUCCAUAGCCAGAUGUUUGAAGAAAGGACUUACAUCCCGUAUGUUGUCAUUUAAGUAAAAUGAGGGUCAGAGUAAGGUUGGCAUGGUGUUUUGAUGUUGGGAUUUUGGAUGAAAUUUGGUUGACGCUCUCGGAGAUUUUUCGGGAUUGAGAGCAUCAUUGCAUUGUUCCAAAAGAACUGCCUCAGUUUUCAAUACUGAGGAAAUUUAUUCGAAAAAGUAGGGAGACCGAACCCUUAUUGUAAGGCCCCGUAAAAAAUGAUUUCUAAUGAUUAAGACUUUAUAAAGCACAAACGAUAAUUGGGAAUAAUAUUUUUUUGAGUAAUAAAGGAGAUCUAUUAGAUAUAACCACAUCAUUUUGACAUGAAAAUACAAAUGGAAAGUGUUUUGGAACAUAUUAAGGAGGUUUGUAAGUGGAAGAAGUUGUUUGGAAUGAGUUGGAAAUAUUAAGUGGAAAAUGUAUCUUAAUUUGCACAAUACCUGCCUUUGAACGAGUAUAACUCUCAUAAUAUAAAGAUAUUUUCCAUGAAUUUUGCCCCUAAAGCGUAUCCCUCCGAGUCUAUUUUCAAAAGCAUCAACCCGUUUGUCAUUUGGACAUUCCUACUAAAAGUUAUGAUCAAAUUACUAAAGUAAGACCACCCAGUUAUUUUGGCGGACAGCGAAGCAAGGCUUGCUUCACCAGAUCGGGCGCGGAUCAUGUAUUCCCUUGCAUGCAGUGGAUAGCGAAGUGAGGCUUACUUUGCCAGACUGGGCACGCCCCAGCUUAAGGUCCUUUUAAGUCAUUUUGGGGGUUCAUUUCCUCCAUUUCACAUGGAUGAAUUUUGGAGCUUUCCUCCACUCUCUCAAGACCCCCAACUCCUCCCAUCUUCAAGUUAAGAAAUACCCAUUGUCUUGGUGUGAAUCCUAUCAUUUACACACUAGAAGUAACUCAAUCCACCAUGAAAUCGUUAGAUUUUCAAGAAAUUUCUUCAAGAACGCAAGGGAUGGUUUUGAAAGAUUUCUUCCAAAAGGUAAUCCUACACCCUUAGACUUACAUGCAUGUAUUAUUAUGGGAAUAUGAGUAUGAAUUAAGUAUUGGAACUCAUGGGAUGGUGAUUGGAAGCCAUAAGUUCCCAAUUUAAAUACAUAACCAUUGUAGAGAUCGAAAGGUGAUUAUUUGAUGGAAUUUUGUUGGUUGGGUGUGGAUGGAUGGUCAUACAUGUGAUGUUGGAAGUUAUAAAUUGUUUAAUAAUGAUGGUGGGAUAAAUUGUUGGUAAAUGGUAGUAGUUGGAUUAACUAAUUCUAUGGUUAAGAAAUGUAGAGAUUUAUGCCUACUAGGUGUUUAAUAAAAUGCCUAAAUUAUGGAAUUUGUUACUAAUAUUAGUCCCAUUGGAUGUUGUUAUUGUAGAUUGAAGUUUCUUAGUGUAGUGGAUCAUUGUAGUGUCAUUAAGGGGGCGAAUUUGAGGUAUGUUGGCUAAACGUCUCUCUUAGAAUUGAAUCCCAUGAUGUUCUCAUAAGUCUCAAGUAUGAUGGGCCAAUUUCUUAUUUCUCAUGUGCCGAGUUAUUCAUUAUAAAUUUGACUAUUCCAAAUAAGCUUUGUGUCGAAAGAUGUAAGUUCAAAAUGUGUUCCAAUGCUCUUGUUAUAUUAUGUUAUCAUUUGAGAAUAUGUUCAAAGUAUGUGUGGUGUAUUAAAAUGUUAUGACUUCAAGUCGUGUUCCAAAUGAAAGUUAUUAUGCCAAAAUUGUGGAAGAAAACUCCAUGUGCUUAAGGCUCUUAAUUGUUCAUAUGUGUACUUAAAGUCUUGAUUUGAUAUGCCUUGUUGUUGAUAAUCCAUGAUGGUGCUUGAAAGUGAAAGAGGUGAGCAUGAAAUAUGAAAUACGGUCAACGUGCCAAGAAUGAUAUUACAUUUGUGGUCACUAGUGCCAAUGAAAUUGAAAGGCAUGUGAAAAAUAUACAUUUUGUGAGUAUCGUUAGUCACCGAGGAAGGGUAGGUCAAAAUUACACGUGCCGGUGUAGGAGUGAUUGAGGGGCAAAUCCCCGAACUGAUAUGUUAUGAAUAUUCCCCUUAAAUGGGAUGAGAUUGAUGUGUUGAGAUUAUUCCCCUUAAUUGGGAUAAGAUGAUUGCUAGCGGAGGGUGAUGUCAAUCCACACAGCAUUGUGGUGAGACGGCCUAGCCGAUCGGGUCAAGAUCGGACACCAUGCCGGGCGUGGUGGUGAUUGUGAUUGUGAUUGGAUGUCUUUGGGUGAGACGGCCUAGCCGAUUGGGCCGUGAUCGGACUCCGUGCUAAAGUCAUGGUGGUAUAUCGGUACUAAAGAUCUCCCAACCUAAAAUAAUGAAAUUUACUUGAAAACUUAACUUGCUCCUAACUUGAUGCUUUGGUAUUGUUUGAGGCUUCCAUUCAUUCUAUGAUUUGUUUCUCCUUGUAUGGUUAUUCAUUCUACUGAGAGGGUGUUUAGUCUUACAUACUAGUACUAUUUCAUAUGUACUAAUAUCCCUUUUUCUGGAGGCGCUGCAUCUUUAAUGGAUGCAGAUGGUUCCACAGCAGGCAGCAUUGAUCAGUAGUAGCGGUACACCCUCUUCCCAGCUAACUUGGUGAGCCCUACUUCAUUUCGGGGUCAUGUAUCUUUUGUUUCUCAUGAAUUGUGUUUUGAGGUAUAGCCGGGGCCUUGUUGCCGGCACAAUCAUAGUACUCUUUUGUAUUCAUUAGAGGAUACGUAGACAUAUUGUGGGUUGUACCUUGGUUUUGGGAAAGUCAAGCUAAAGAUGUUGUAAUUGUAUCACCUGUUUCCACUUUUAAACUAUGAAUGUGUAAUGUAAUAUUUUGGAGACUUAUAAAUAACGUAACUAAUGAUAAUAAAUUGGUGUUGUUCACAUGAUCUUCUCAUUGUCCAAUCAACAAAAUUUAUCUUCUCUUUAUUCAUGGGUAUGUUCGGGUAGAAGGUAUCGUGCAAGCUUGCUUGACUGGGGUAUCUCGGUUGAGCGCUGGUCGCGCUCCCCGAGGUCGGGGCGUGACAAACUUGGUAUCAGAGCCUAAGGUUUUAAAGUGUCCUAGGAUGUCUUGGAGUCGUGUCUAGUAAAGUCCUUCUUAUCGGUGUGUUGUCGACCACAUCUAUAAUUAGGAGGCUAUUUGGGCAUUUAGGAAUGUUACCCUUCUUCAACUCUCUAGAUCGUGCGAUAGAGCUUGUCUAUAAGAUUGUCUUCUAACUCGUGCGUUAAGGUUCAGGGUAAGUCUAAACGCUCUUCUGUCUAUUCCAAGUAAUAUUGUCAUAUGGCAUGACAAAUGGGAAAAGGCAUGAAUAUUAAGAAGAUGGCACAUGCAUCAUGUUGAAUGAAUGGUAUGGACAUAUAAGAUAAGUAUAUAGUAACCGGAGCAUACUUUAUACGAGAAAAGUGUUAGAAGUGAUUACAUACCUCCAAAGAGACAUUGGCAUGGUAACUGAGAUCUAGGCUUAACUAGUACAUGUAGAUAGUGUGGGAACUAUGUAUAUGACCUAAGAUGUUAAAGAAAAUUUGUUACAUAGGCAUGUGAUAUAUGAAAGGCAUAACUUUGAGGGUAAUGACGAUAGUGUAGGUCUCUCACAGGAGACAAGAAGUUAUGAAAGAGAUAAUGAUGAGUUCUUUAUGCCCAUAUGUGACUUGUUUGGCAAUGAUAAGUCUAAGGAGAAAAAAAAGGAACAUCAAACUAUAUGUAAUAAGAUGACUCUUAGUGUAUAAAGAGAGUCAACUGAACUCACAAUGAGAAGACCCUUGCACCAUGAAUGUUAUAAGUGUCCCAGAAAUGUACGGAGAUGUGUUACACUCCUAAAAGAUAUUGACAUGAGGAUUUUGGGUCCCAAGCUUGUGUGGUUGAAUCAGAGUUGAUCACUUAUGAGGUUAAUACCAUGGUGACUUAAACCUCCCUAAUAGUCGAUAAUAUACAAGAGGACUAGAGAUAUGAAAAAUAUGUCCCUCAAGUUGCUAAGUUCAAGACUUGUGUCGAAAUCUGGAACAUUCUCCCAAGUGGGGAAGGAAGGGCCAUAGUGAGGCUACUUAAGCUCAAUAAAACAAGAGUGAACCAUGUAGCUAUGAUGUUUGAAUAUUUUAUUGAACACAUGUGUAGUCUAGAAAAGUGGUAAAGGUUAAUGUUAUGCUCUGAAAAGAUACGUUAAUGAUAGACCACUAGUACACCCAAGAAUGUGGAAGGUUAAGAAAGGUAAAUUCUCCAUACAUGACAAUGUACAUGACAUGGUCAAUGAUCCUAGGAACUAAGGGAGAGAAAAAGUGAUAAGUGUAAGGUUUGCAAGAGUGUUUUAUACUAGUCAGAGAGUCAAAGACAAUGGAACCCAAGGAAGUACUAUAGAUCAAAUGUGAAAGGCUUGUGAUGCUCAGGGUGAGUUAAUCAAGGAUUUUCGAUUUAGCUAAAGUUCCAAGACUCUAAGAAAGACGGAACGAGUGUGAGAAAUAAAUUUGAUGCUCUAAUAACCCAAGAGUGCAUUUGGACUCUAUGGAGAGCCUCUUAAGAAUCUUGCAAGCAAGGAAGUGUUAAGUGAUACAUGGAGGAACACACUUUCUCAGGGGUAUCCCAACAAUUAUCGAGAGGCUAGCAUGAUGAAUUCACAACUAAGGGAAAGGACCACGUAACAUAUGGAAGAGUGAAUAACUAUUCACUAACUAGGAAGAAUGAGGCAAGAAGGAUUAGAAGAAAAUCUGUAAAUUGAGGUGGUCAUAGUUAUCGUACAACAGGAAGAGUAGGUCAAAAUAACCUAACCUCGAAACUACGCGUGCCGGUGUAGGAGUGAUUGAGGGGAAAAUCCCCGAAGUGAUGUGUUGAGAAUAUUUCUCUUAAAUGGGAUGAGAUUGAUGUGCUGAGAUUAUUCCACUUAAUUGAGAUGAGAUGAUUGCUAGCGAAGGGUGCUGUCGAUCCACACGGCAUUGUGGUGAGACAGCCUAGCCGAUCGGGUCGAGAUCGGACGCUAUGCCGCACGUGGUGGUGAUUGUGAUUGUGAUUGGAUGUCUUUGGGUAAGACGGCCUAGCUAAUCGGGCCAUGAUCGGACUCCGUGCUAAAGUCACGGUGGCAUAUCGGUACUAAAGAUCUCCCAACCUAAAAUAAUGAAAUUUACUUGAAAACUUAAGUUGCUCCUAACUUGAUGCUUUGGUAUUGUUUCACGCUUCCAUUCAUUCUAUGAUUUGUUUCUCCUUAUAUGGUUAUUCGUUAUACUGAGAGGGUGUUUAGUAUUACAUACUAGUACUAUUCCAUAUGUACUAACGUCCCUUUUGCCAGGGGCGCUGCAUCUUUAAUGGAUGCAGGUGAUUCCACAACAGGCGGCAUUGAUCAGUGAUAGCGGUGCACCCUCUUCCCAGCUAACUUGGUGAGCCCCACUUCAUUUCGGGGUCUUGUAUCUUUUGUUUCUCAUGUAUUGUGUUUUGAGGUAUGGUCGGGGCCUUAUCGCUGGCACAAUCAUAAUACUCUUUUGUAUCCGUUAGAGGCUCAGUAGACAUAGUGUGGGUUGUACCUUGGUUAUGGGAAAGUCAAACUAAAGAUGUUGUAAUUGUAUCACUUGUUUCCACUUGUAAACUAUGAAUGUGUAAUGUAAUAUUUUGGAGACUUAUAAAUGACGAAACUAAUGAUAAUAAAUUGGUGUUGUUCACAUGAUCUUCUCAUUUUCCAAUCAACGAAAUUUAUCUUCUCUAUAUUCAUAGGUAAGUUCGGGUAGAAGACAUCGUACAUGCUUGCUUGAUUGGGGUAUCUCGGUUAAGCGUCAGUCGUGCUCCCCGAGGUCGGGGCGUGAUAUUAUGUAAGGUUACCUACGUAUCUUGUUAAAGCAAGAAUCAGGUCGAAACGUAGUUCGGACCAAUUACUGGAAUUAUGAGAUCCGUAAAGUUGUGAUGAAUACAUGAUUGUUCCUUGAGAAGGAAUGUGAUUAUGAAUGAGAAUCCUUGGAUGGGUGUCACAACCCAAAAUCACAACCUAUCGUGAUGGCACCUAACAUACUUGCUAGGCAAACCGACAAUCACAUAACAACUAACCAAUUGAAUGGAACAUGCUUUAAUAAACUCGACAGUGGAAAGAAUCUUAUAAAUAUAGGAUAAGAGUAACUGAAACUCUACUACAACCAUCCCAAAACCUGUUGUCAUCGAAUACAUGAGCACUACAACAUUUCAACAUAAGCAAACUCUAGUACAACUGUCUGAAUAAUAGAAUAGUACAGAAAAGCAUGAAAGGAAGAAGGGUCAGGGUCUGCGGACGUCAUAGCAACUAGCUUAAAGUCUCCAAGCAAGCACCGACAAUGAUCUAGCAAUCACCGCAUCCAGAUGUACUUGAAUCUGCACACGAAGUAUAGAGUGUAGUAUGAGUACAACCGACCCAAUGUACUCAAUAAGUAACAGAACUAACCUUGGGCUGAAAGCAGUGACGAGCUUAAAAGGAUACAGUCAGAACCAAUGUAUUGACAAAACAUAUAUAGUAAUGAGAAUGACGGUAAUAACUUGGGGAAACUUCCAUAUUCAGGUCGUUCAUGGUACAAAAAUUUAGACAUGCUUGCAAGUUCACCAUUAAAGGCUAACACGGAUAAGAACAUGUCAAGUAUAGCUAGCAUGAGGAAUGAUACAUCUCUAUGCCUACAUGCCAAAUAUGAAUGUAAAAAGUACGGUAUCACAGUGAUAUUCCCAGGUGCUCACACUCUUAGUGUGCUCAAUCUGUCUAUCUCAUAUUCCCACUCACCACACAUAACCACUCAGCAGUGUACGGGUGCCUCGUAUCAUUGCCCAUCACCAAAGCACGUGUAUAUAAAUCACUAUGCCUGCGCUCACUGCUGGUAUGUCAGACUCCGGAGGGACGGACCCUGCCCAAGCUCUAAUAUAAAGCCUAUAAGGCCUGCUGUGCCGUGCAGACCGAUCCACAAUAAUAAAUAAGCCAAUAAGUCUUGUUGCGGCGUGCAUCCUGAUCCACAUUAACACUCUUAACUCGGCUCUCAGGCCCAACUCAGUCAUCAAUCUCUCAAGUCUCAAGGGAUCACAAUCCCAUACUACUCAUCCCAAGCAAUAAGAACAUGUAAUGCAACGGUAAAUGAUAACGGAGACUAAGAUAUGAUAUGCAAGUAAAGGAUUAUGAAUGAGCACACAAUUGCAGUUAAAGUAGAUAACUCAAAACAACAGAAAUAACCUCACUAGGCCUCAACCGAAUAAACACAUAUCCUUAACAUGUUUUCUAACAUGAAUUACAGUCCAAUUACUCAAACAAGUAAGGAUUUCAUGGAUAGAACAAGACUUGAUGACAACACAGUCCAAAAGAAACAACUGAAUCAUGAUUUACCACGGUGAACGCCCACACUCCCGUCACCUAGCAUGUGCGUCACUCCAACACAACCAUAUAACACGUAUUCCAGGGAUUCAUACCCUCAGUACCAAGUUUAGAAGUGUUACUUAUCUCAAAGUAUGCAACUCAAUGCUCCAACAAACCCUUGCCUCGCAAAUCGGCCUCCGAAUGACUCGAAUCUAGUCACAAACAAUUUAACAGAAUCAAUACAAGAUAUAGGAAUCAAUUCCAUAGAAUAAAGCUAAGUUAUUUAACCAAAUUCAAAAAGUCAACCCAAAAAGUCAACCUCGGGCGGGCCCAUGCCUCAGAACCCGACAAAAUUCACAAAUUCCGAACACUUAUUUAAUAACGAGUCCAACUAUACCAAAAUCAUCCAAUUCCAAUCACAAAUUGAACCUCAAAUCUCCAAAUCUUACUCUCCAAUACAUAGACCAAAAAUCCUCCAAAUUGCACCUCAAACACACAUAAUCUAGGUAUAAUAAUCAAUGGGUAUUCAACAUUAAUAAACAAAAGUGAUCAAAAGUUGCUUACCCCUUGAAUUAUAGUGAGAUCCCUCUCAAAUAUCGCCACUAGCCGAGCUUCAAAGGUCCAAAAAAGAAGAAAAUGGCUAAAACCCUCGACUAUAUCAUUCUGCCUAGCGAUUCUCGCUUCUGCGGGCUCAUCAGCCGCACCUGCAGCUCCACUUUUGUGGAAAAUACUUCGCUUCGGGUAAAAUUCAUUAAAAUUCCCGACCAACCGCUUCUGCGGCCAAAUCUCGCUUCUGCGAGUCCGCUUCUGCUGUCCAAGACCUGCACCUGCGGGACCGUAUUUGCAUAUCACCUCCGCUUCUACGACCCCAGCUUCCCCUGCCCAAUAUCCACAUCUAUGGCAGCUUCUUCGCACCUGCGGGCUCGCAGAUGCGGAAACUACCUCGCACCUGCGGCCACUGCCAAACCUAGCCAAACCCCACAUCUACGCCUUCCUGGCCGCUUCUACGGCUCCGCACCUGCGGCCAAUUCCUCGCAGGUGUGGUUACACCAGAACUGAACCCAACAGAUUUUCUCCAAGUCCAAAGUCCAAACUUCAUUCCGAUUUCAAUCCAAAUCACACCCGAGGCCCCCCAGGCCCUAUCCAAAAAUACCAACACGUCCUAAAAUAUGAUACGAACUUAGUCGAAGCCUAAAAUCACAUUUAACAACAUCAAAAACACAAAUCACACCCAAUUCAAGCCUAUUGAAACUAAUUGAUUUCCAACUUCUAAAACCAAACCCGAUCAAACCAACUCCGAUUGACCUCAAAUUUUGCACACAAGUAAAUGACACAACGGACCUACUCCAACUUCCGAAACAAAAAUCCGAGCCCGGUAUCAACAAAGUCAACUCUCGAUCAAACUUCUCAACCCUCCAAACCUUCAACUUUCCAACUUUUGUCAAUUCAAGCCAAAAUGACCUACAGACCUCCAAAUCAAUAUCCGGACAUACUCCUAAGUCCAAAAUCACCAUAAGAAGCUAUUGGGACCAUUAAAAUUCUAUUCCGGAGUCGUUUACCCAUAAGUCAACAUCCGGUCAACUCUUUCAAUUUAUGCUUCCAACCUUAGGACUAUGUAUCCCAAUAUAUUCUGAAACAUCCCCGGAACCAAACCAAACACCCCAGCAAGUCACAUAACCAUAAAUGAACAUAGAAUAAGCAAUAAAUGGGGGAACAGGGCUACAAUACUCAAAACAACCGGACGGGUCAUUACAUUCUCCCUCUUUUAAACAAAUAUUCGUCCUCGAACGGGUCUAGAAUCAUACCUAGAAUCUCAAAUAGGUAUGGAUAUCUGCUCUGCAUCUCCCUCUCGAUCUCCCAAUUAGCCUCCUCGACUAGAUGGCCUCUCCACUGAACCUUCACUGAAGCUAUAUUCUUUGAUCUCAACCUUCGAACCUGCCGAUCCAAAUUGGCCAGCGGCUCCACAUCAUAAGCCAAAUCUCCAUCUAACUGAACUGUGUUGAAGUCCAAAACAAGAGAUGGAUUACCAAAAUACUUCCGGAGCAUGAAAAUAUGAAACACUGGGUGAACACCCGAUAGACUAGGUGGCAAUGCAAGCUUGUAGGCCAUUUCUCCAAUCCUCUGAAGCACCUCAAAAGGGCCAAUAUACCGAUGGCUCAACUUAUUCUUCUCCCCGAACCUCAUCACACCCUUCAUGGGCGAUACCCUGAGAAAUACCUUCUCUCCCAACAUAUAUGCAACAUCGCGAACCUUCUGAUCGGUAUAACUCUUUUGUCUAGACUGUGUCGUGCGAAGACGAUCCUAAAUCAACUUGACCUUUUCCAAGGCAUCCUGAACCAGAUCCAUGCCCAACAACCUAGCUUCUCCCGGCUCAAACCAACCAACUGAAGAACGACACCGCCUCCUAUAUAAGGCCUCAUAAAGAGCCAUCUGAAUACUCGAUUGGUAGUUGUUGUUGUAGGCAAACUCUGCAAGUGGUAGAAACUGAUCCCAAGAACCCCCGAAAUCCAUAACACAAGCGUAUAUCAUAUCGUCCAAAAUCUAAAUGGUGCGCUCGGACUGUCCGUCCGUCUGGGGUGAAAUGUUGUGCUAAACUCAACCCGUGUGCCCAACUCUCGCUGUAUUGCUCUCCAAAACUGCGAUGUGACAUGUGUGCCCCGAUUAGAAAUAAUGAACACCAUCACACGGUGUAGGCGAACAAUCUCACGGAUAUAAAUAUCAGCCAGCCGCUCUAAAAAAUAGGUAGUCACAACCGGAAUGAAAUGUGCGGACUUAGUCAACCGGUCUAACCACCCAAAUAGCAUCGAAUUUCUUCAAAGUCUGUGGGAGCCCAAAUAUGAAAUCCAUGGUAACACGCUCCAAUUUUCACUCCGAAAUCUCAAGUUUCUGAAGCAAACCGACCGGCCUCUGAUGCUUGUACUUCACCUGCUAAUAGUUCAAGCACCGAGCCACAUACUCCACUAUAUCUUUCUUCAUUCUUCUCCACCAAUAGUAUUGCCUCAAGUCCUGAUACAUCUUCGCGGGAUGCCGGUGAAUGGAAUACCGCGAACUGCAGGUCUUCUCAAGAAUCAACUCACGUAACUCAUCUAUAUUGGGCACACAAAUCGACCCUGCAUCCGUAACACCCCAUCAUCUCCAAUAGAAACCUCAUUCGCAUCACCAUGUUGUAUCGUGUCCUUAAGGAAAAAGAAAUGGGGGUCAUCAUACUGACACUCUCUGAUUCGCUCAUAUAAGGAAGACCAAGAAACCAUGCAAGCUAGAACCCGACUAAGCUCCGAAACAUCUAACCUCAUGAACUAAUUGGCCAAAGCCCGAAUAUCUGAUGCUAGCAGUCUCUCGCCAACAGGAAUAUAUGCAAGGCUACCCAUACUCAUAGCCUUUUUAUCAAGGCUUCGGCCACCACAUUGGCCUUCUCGAGAUGAUACAAAAUGGUGAUAUCAUAGUCUUUUAACAGCUCCAACCAUCUCCGCUGCCUCAAAUUUAGAUCCUUUUGCUUGAACAAGUGUUGUAGACUCUGAUGAUUUGUAAAUACCUCACAAGACACACCGUAGAGAUAAUUCCUCCAAAUCUUCAACGCAUGAACAAUGGCUGCCAACUCUAAAUAAUGACGGGGUAGUUCUUCUCAUGGGGCUUCAACUGGCGUGAAUCAUAAGAAAUCACCCUACCCUCCUACAUCAAGACACACCCAAUAUAAUCUGAGAAGCAUCACAAUAUACUGUAUAUGAACCUGAUGUUGAAGGUAAAACUAGAAUUGGAGUUGUGGUCAAGGCAGUCUUGAGCUUUUGAAAGCUCUCAUCACACUCAUCAAACCACUUGAAUGGGGCACCCUUAUGGAUCAAUCUAGUCAAAGGUGCAGCGAUGGAUGAGAAACCCUCCACAAAACGGCGAUAAUGAUCGGCCAAGUCAAGAAAACUCUGAAUCUCAGUAGCUGAAGACGGUCUGACCUAACUCUGAACUACCUCAAUCUUGUUCGGAUCUACCUUGAUCCCCUCACUGGAUGCCACGUGCCCCAAGAAUGCCACAGAAUCAAGCUAGAACUCACACUUGGAGAAUUUAGCAUAAAGCUUCUUCUCCCUCAAUGUCUGUAGUACAAUCCUCAGAUGUUGUGCAUGCUCCUCCUGCCUGCGUGAGCACACUAGUAUAUCAUCAAUAAAUACUAUGACAAAAGAAUCAAGAUAUGGCUAGAAUACACUGUUCAUCGGAUACAUAAAUGAUGUUGGGACAUUGGUCAGCCCAAAAGACAUCACAAGGAACUCGUAGUGGCCAUAGCGGUCCUGAAUGUCAUCUUCAGAAUAUCAGAAUCUUGAAUCUUUAACUAGUGAUACCCAGACCUCAAAUCAAUCUUAAAGAACACUCUCGCACCCUGAAGCUGGUCAAAUAAGUCAUCAAUGUGCGGCAGUGGGUACUUGUUCUUAAUUGUAACUUUGUUCAACUGCCUAUAAUCAAUGCACAUCCGCAUAAUAUCAUCCUUCUUCUUCACACAUAGAACUGGUGCACCCUAAGGCGAUACACAAGGCCUAAUGAAUCCCUUAUCAAGUAGCUCCUAAAGCCAGUCUUUCAAUUCUUUCAACUAUGUUGGUGCCAUAUGAUACAGAGGACUAGAGAUGGGCUGAGUGCCCGACACCAAGUUAAUACCAAAAUCAAUGUCCCUGUCGGGGGGUAUGCCCUGCAGGUCUGUUGGAAACACAUCCGGAAACUCUUACACCACCGAAACAAACUCAAUGGUAGGAAUAUCAACACCAACAUCCCUCACAAAGGCCAAAUAUGCCAAACAUCCCUUCCCAACCAUCCGUUGGGCCUUCAGAUAUGAAAUCACUUUAUUAGGAACAUAGUCCAGAGAACCUCUCCACUCAAUCCUAGGCAAUCUCGGCAUCGCCAACAUCACGAUCUAGGCGUGACAAUCUAGAAUAGCAUGACAUGGUGACAACCAAUCCAUGCCUAAAAUCACAUCAAAACCGACCAUACUAAGCAGUAAAAGAUCAAAUCUUGUCUCCAAUCCCCCAAUAGUCACCAUACAUGACCGAUACACACGGUCCACAAUAAUAGAAUCAACCACCAUCAUAGAUGCAUGAACAGGCGUAACUAAAGAAUCAUGGGGCAUAUCCAAAUAACGAGCAAAGUAUGAUGAUACAUAUGAUUAAGUGGAACCAGGGUCAAAUAAUAUGGAAGCUUCUCUGUGGCACACUAAAACAAUACAUAUGAUCACUGCGUCUCAAGCAACGGCCUCUGGCCUGGCGGGAAAAGCAUAGCAUCGAGCCUGACCACCACCUGCUCAACCUCCUCCUCUAGGGCGACCUCGAACUGCCAGAGUCCCACCUUGAGCUAGCUAAGCGGAUGGUGAAGUAACUCGUGCAGAACUCAUAGCUUGACCUCUCUGCUGAACUAGGCCUCCCAUAAGACGGGGACAAUACCUCCUCACAUGCCCCAACUCUCCACACUCAAAGCAACCUUGAUCCGACAAUGGCGGCGGAGAUUGAAUCGGACCCCGAGAAUGAGAAUAACGACUAGAAGAACCUGGUACAGAUGAACCCUGAACCGAUGGAGCAUGGGGUAAACUCUAAUCUAGAAGGGCACUGAACGAUGACUGACCUGGACAAGCACUGUAUGAACCAUGGCUAACUGAUGCACUACGAUGAACCGGACAAGCCAUCUGAGCGGGCCUAUAAAGAUGACCCUUGCUGUGAUGGGACUGCCCUCCAAAUGAGGCACUGCUAAAACCACCUGAACUACGAGGCCUAUUGGCCUCCCUCUCCUCACGCUCCUAACUAUGAGCCACCUCUAGGUGUCUAGAAAUAUCAACCACCUCAUCAAACCUCGCACCCGUCACAAUCUCUUGAGUCAUGAUGAAACGUAGUCCAUAGUUGAGGCCAUCAAUGAACCUCUUAAUCCUAUCCCUCUCAGUGGGAACCAACCAUACCGCGUGAUUAGCCAACUCUAAAAAUCUCAUCUCAUACUGAGUCAUUGAUCACCCUCCUAGUGUAGCUGCUCAAACUGCCUACGUAACUCCUCUUUGUGAGUCUGUGGAACAAACUUCUCUAAGAAGAAAACUGAGAACUCAUGCCACGUAAGUGGUGCAGCGCCGGCUGGCCUGCUCAACUCAUAGGCCUCCCACCAUCUGUAGGCUACCCCUGUCAACUGAAAAUUAGUGAAUGAAACUCCACUGGUCUCCAAAAUACUUGUCGUGCGAAGGAUCCGCUGGCACCUAUCUAAAAAAAUUUACAUCCUCUGACUCGGCCCCACUGAACUCUGAAGGCUUGAGCCUCCCAAACCGCUCGUCUCUUCUGCUCCUCAUCACUCAUAGGUGGGCCAACCUAGGCUCGAGUAGCCGCAACCGGCUGGGAGUGUAGUACCCCUGGUGUAUGGAGUCCCUGAGCCACUUGCUCUGGAGUACGGCGGCGGGAGUCUAAGCACCUCCCCUGGCCUGAGAAUUGGCUGGUGCAGCCAGGAUUGAAACCGCCUGAGCAAGGCUCGUGUAUACAGUCCAAAUCUGGGCAAAUGCCUCCUCAAGGCCCAGGAUCAUAAUGGGCACAGCUGGUGCCUGAGUUGGUCCCACCAGCUCAGUAACAUCUGGUAUCUGCUCCUCAGCCGGAGCAACUGGUGGCUCCACAAGUGCUUCUCUAGCUGUAGUACGAGCCACACCUCAGCCUCUACCGUGGCCCCGACCUCUCGCGGCCUUAGCUGGUGGUAUUGGUGGUCGUCCUCCUGACUCGGUCACACGUGUCCUCACCAUCUGUGACAUAAUAGAAGAAUAGUAAUUCAAAUUCCGGAUUUAACAAAUUUGCACGACAAGAAUACAAGAAAGUGAAGUUUCCUAACGGUUCUGUAGCCUUUCGAAGAUAAGUAUAGACGUCUUUGUACCGUUCUGCAAGACUCUAUUGAACAUGCUCAUGACUUGUAAGACCUAAGUAACCUAGUGCUCUGAUACCAACUUUUCACGACCCAAAAUCCCAACCUGUCAUUUUUUCACCUAACACACUUGCUAGGCAUGCCGACAAUCGCAUAACAGCUAAACAAUUGAAUGGAACAGGCUUUAAUAAACUCGACAGCGAAAAGAAUCUUAUAAAUAUAUGAUAAUAGUAACUAAAACUCUAAUACAACCAUCUGUCAUCGAGUACAUGAGCACUACAAUAUUUCAACAUAAACAAAACUUAGUACAACUGUCUGAAUAAUAGAAUAGUACAUGAAAGCAUGAAAGGAAAGAGUAUCAAGAUCUGCGGAUGUCAUAGCAGCUACCUAGAAGUCUCCAAGCAAGCACUAACAAUGAUCUAGCAAUUACCACAUCCAGAUAUACCUGGAUCUGCACAUGAAGUGCAGAGUGUAGUAUGAGUGCAACCGACCCAAUGUACUCAAUAAGUAACAGAACUAACAUUGGGCUGAAAGCAGUGACAAGCUUAAAAGGAUACAGUCAGAACCAAUGUAUUGACAACACAGAUAUAGUAAUGAGAAUGAUAGUAAUAACUCGGGGAAACAUCCAUAUUCAGCUCGUUCAUAGUACAAAAAUUUAGACAUGCUUGCAAGUUCAUAAUUAAAGGCCAACACGGAUAAGAACAUGUCAAGUAUAGCUAGCAUGAGGAAUGAUACAUCUCUAUGCCUACAUGUCAAAUAUGCAUGUCAAAAGUACGGUAUCACACUGAUAUUCCCAGGUUCUCACACUCUUAAUGUGCUCAAUCUGUCUAUAUCAUAUUCCCACUCAUCACACACAAUCACUCAACACUGUAUGGGUGCCUGGUAUCAAUGCCCCUUACCAAAGCACAUGUAUAUAAAUCACUGUGCCUACGCUCACUGCUAGUAUGUCAGACUCCGGAGGGACGGAUCCUUCCCAAGUGCUAAUAUAAAGCCUAUAAGGCCUGCUGUGGUGUGCAGCCCGAUCCACAAUAACACUCUUAGCUCGGCUCUCAGGCCCAACUUAGUCAUCAAUCUCUCAAGUCUCAAGGGAUCAUAAUCUCAUACUACUCAGCCCAAACAAUAAGAACAUGUAAUGCAACAGUAAAUGAUAAUGCAGACUGAGAUAUGAUAUGCAUGUAAAGGAUCAUGAUUGAGCACACAAUUGCAAUUAAAGCAGAUAACUCAAAAAAACAGAAAUAAUCUCACUAGGCCUCAACCAAAUAAACACAUAGCCUAAACAUAUUUUUUAACAUGAAUUACAGCUCAAUUAUUCAAACGAGUAAGGAUUUCACGAAUAGAACAAGACUUGAUGACAACACAGUCCAACAGAAACAACCCAAUCAUGAUUUACCUGGUGCACGUCCACAUUCCCGUCACCUAGCAUGUGCGUCACUCCAACAUAACUAUAUAACAUGUAUUCCAGAGAUUCAUACCCUCAGUACCAAGUUUAGAAGUGUUACUUACCUCAAAGUGCGUAACUCAAUGCUCCAACAAACCUUUGCCUCGCAAAUUGGCCUCCGAAUGAUUGGAAUCUAGUCACAAACAACUUAACAUAAUCAAUACAAGCUAUAAGAAUCGAUUCCAUAUGAUAAAGCUACUUUCUUUAACAAAAUUCAAAAAGUCAACCCCGAGCCCACGCCUCGGAACCAGACAAAAUUCACAAAUUCUGAAUAAACAUUCAAUAACGAGCUUCUACGAGCUCACCAGUCGUACUUGUGGCUCUACUUUUGCGGAAAAUCCUUCGCUUCUACGAAAAUUCAUUAAAAUUCCUGACCUGACGCUUCUACGGCCAAAUCCCGCUUCUGCGGGUCCGCUUCUACGGUCCAAGACCCGCACCUGCAGGACCGCAGCUACGUAUCGCCUCCGCUUCUGCGACCCCAGCUUCCCCUGCCCAAUAUCCGCAUCUGCGGCAGCUUCUUUGCACCCGCGGGCUCGUAGAUGCGGAAACUACCUCGCACCUACGGCCAUUGCCCAGCCUAUUCAAACCCCGCAUUUGCACCUUCCUGGCCACUUUUGCGGCUCCACACCUACGACCAGUUCAUCGCAGGUGCGAUUACACCAAAAUUGAACCCAGCAGAUUUUCUCCAAGUCCAAACUUCAUUCCGAUUUCAAUCUGAAUCACACUCGAGGCCCCCGGGACCCCAUCAACACAUACCAACACGUCCUAAAACAUGAUACAAACUUAGUCGAAGCCUCAAAUCACAUCAAACAACAUCAAAAAUACGAAUUGCACCCCAAUAUUAGCCUAUUGAAACUAAUGGAUUUCCAACUUCUAAAACCAAUGCCGAAACCUAUCAAACCAACUCCGAUUUAUCUCAAUUUUUGCACACAGGUUAUAAAUGACACAGCGAACGUACUCCAACUCCCAAAACAAAAAUCUGAACCCGGUAUCAACAAAGUCAACUCUGAGUUAAACUUCUCAACCUUCCAAACCUUUAACUUUCCAACUUUCGCCAAUUCAAGCCAAAACAACCUACGGACCUCCAAAUCAAUAUCCGGACAUAUUUCUAAGUCCAAAAUUACCAUACGAAGCUACCGGGACCAUUAAAACUAUAUUUUGGAGUUGUUUACUCAUAAGUCAAAAUCUGGUCUACUCUUUCAACUUAAGCUUCCAACCUUGGGACUAAGUGUCCCAAUUUAUUCUGAAACAUCCUCGAAACCAAACCAACCACCCCGGCAAGUCAUAUAACCACAAAUAAACAUAGAAUACGCAAUAAAUGGGGGAACAUGGCUACAAUACUCAAAACAACUGGCCAGGUCGUUACAGUGGGUGGGUGAAGACUGGUAAGUUUUGAAUAACAGAUAAACGAUAGCAUAGCGCAUGAAUCUGUCUCAAAUAACAGAAGUCGGUAAAAGUGUGAAGUAUGAUUGGGAAGAAUACGUCAAAUCAGUGGAGGAUGUAUCAAGCUAGAUUGACGUAUCUUUGAAAAGGAUAGUAGACUCCAGAUGAUGGUAUGAUUAUGGAGAUGGUCAUGAAGACUGGAAUAGGCAUGUGUAUUUGAAAAAUUCAAGGUUCAACAUAGUUCAACCAAAGUUUAGUCAGACAAAGAAAACCUAAUAGUGGAUAACAAAUAGAAUAUACAUGUAAUAUAUAAAUUAUACAUAACAAUUGUAGGCAAAGAAUAUAUAACAAAUAUACAAAGGAUAUGUAGGAAGUAAAGGAUAUGCAAGGAUUAAUUCAGUUAAAGCAAGGUGCAAGAUUGUGUGUAUAGUGACCUUGGAAUUCUAAGAGUAGAUUUACCUAGAUUUGAGCAUGAGUUUAGGACAAAUGCGAGAUGGUAUGUAUUUAACUCGUAUGCCGAUCUCUGAAACUAGAGAUUUUUGAAAGAAUGUUCGGAGGGGUGAAAAGACAACCCUCGCGUGACUUGUGUGUGAUUGUGCACGACCAUGAGUCGAUAGAAAAGUGUUGACAAUUUAAUAAGGCAGUACCAGAGAUAUGUAUGGAAGAAUAUACAACACAGUCAUAUGUAACAGAAUAUACAACAUAGACAUUGUCUAUGUGGAAAGCAUAUACAACAUGAGCAUGACAGAGAAUACACUGCUUGAAGCGUGACAAAGAAUAUACCGCUUGAAGUAUAUAACAAGAAUAUACUGCUUGAAGCGCAUGACAAAGAAUAGACUACUUGAAGCAUGCGAUGAAUAAUAUACGAUUUGAAGCAAAAUAAUAUGCAACUUAAAGCAAUGAAUAUACAGCUUGAAACAAAGAGUAUACAACUUGAAGCAGAGAAUAUAUGACUUGAAGCAUGUGAUAGAAAGAAUAGAAGUUAGAGUAUCAGAGAACCUGUAAUUUCUCAAGUAAUUGAUCAAGUCUGCUUUGGUUAGAACCUAAAGUAUCCCCAGUAGAGUCGCCAUAUUGUUGUACCCUAUUUGUACAAAUCAAAAGAAACUACAACUUAUACUACUCUACAAGGUUAUUUAAAGUUUAGAGUCACCACCUAGUAUUUAAGAUAUAGUAGGACACCUAUACUUUACUACACAAUGUACACUACAUUAUGGUCUGCGAAACUAUUGAGAUUCUAGGUAAGAGUUCAAGUUAUUUCGAGGGAAAGGUGUUAGGCAUCCCUCAAGAUCCACAAAAUAUAGUUCCGAUGGACUCAAUCAAAUAGAAGAGGGAUUAAGUGAAAAUAAUUAAUUUUGAUAUAUACAAAGAACAGUAAAGUAGUAUAAAUGAAAAGUAAUUGAACAUGAAUGCCAAGAUAAUAGUUUAUAUACAAAGUGUGUGAAAUACGUAUGUGAAAAAAUACUUGGUAAAAGGUAAAGAAAAUGUAUAGUAACAAGUAGAGUAUUUAUAAAUUAACUAAAUAAAUUGUAAUUAAAGAAUGUACUUGAAAGAAUUUAAUUUAUGUCCAAAGUAACUAUUUUGAGUGAGUGGCUAAUGUAAAAGAAAAGGAAAACUUACUUUAAAGUGGUUGGCCAAAAGCGGAAAAUAAUUAUAUUUUUGAAAAUUGGUGCACAAGACAUAAAGAGAAGAACUUGGCAUUUUGAAGAGUAAGUUAAGUGAAAAGUGAACAAUGUAUGUAUUUGACUAAAGUACAAAAUGUAAUAAAGAAUAAUAAACAAUAAACAAGACAAGGUUAAAUGAUAGACAAGCAUUAUGUCUUACACUUUAAUUUAAUAAAUAAAGUAUGAAAGAAUUUCGUUUUUAAAUGAAUGAACCUGUAUAAGAAGUUGGUUAAAGAAAUAAAAACAUAAGAGAAUAUGUAAUGAUAAGUGGAAUAUUUAUAAAUUGACUAAAUAAAUAUUAAUUAAAGAACAUACUUGGAAAGAAUUUGGUUGAUGUGCAAAGAUUAACCAUUUAAGUGAGAAUCUAAAUUAUUAAAAAAAAAAAUUACCUUAAAUGAUUGACAAAAGUGGAAAAACAAUAAUCUUUAAACAACUUUAGCAUAUAAUGAAUAAAGUAAAAGAAUUAAUUUGAUGAAUAAAGAAUGAAUGUGGUAUAAGAAAAUGUUUAAAAAUGUUUAUGACAUAGAAAAUGAUCCCAUCAAUACAAAAACAUAUUUGCGGUAAAAAUGAGUUAUCAUUCAAUGAAUAACUAAAGACCAUCUCUAGAGCCAUGGUCUUGAAACACAAAUUAUGUGAGCCAAGCUCAAAUGACUACAAGGCUCAAGUCUCUCAAAGAAUGGUAUAAUAAUUUAGUUACAACUUUACAAAUUAUGUAUCAAUUAAAGAACAGUUUACAUAUAAAGUGGUUUGAAAAGGUCCUCAUAUAAUUUUAAGACAAAAACAAAAUUAUUUAUUCUAUUUCUUGGAGGAAGAUGACAUGUUUUAUUUUAAUGUAAAUGACUAAUUUAAUUAGUUAGGUAUACACCGAUUCUAAAUUAAUUAACCAUGUUACAAAAUAUAUUCAACAUCCCAUACAAACAUCAAAAAUUACUUAACACACAAUUAAUCCGAUUAUUAACUAGAUACAAUUUUCUAAGUGUUUAGCAAAUAACUAAUAUCAAAGUAAACAAACAAUACGACAUAAAUCUAUGUUUUUACUAUACUUGCAAUUUUGAAUACAUCCUAAAAUAGGAAGUGCGAAGCGGAAAGCUUGAUGGGGAAUUUUUUACUAUACUUUAAUUUUGAAUACAUCUUCCGAAAGUAACUCCAUGUAAUAGUACCUCACAAGAUAAAAAAAAUAAAAUUGUUAGUAAAAUAACGUAAGGUAAAAUAAAUUAAACGAUAUAUUUUUAAAAUAGUUAUUGUUUUUAAAAUGUUUUUAGAAAAUAUUUUUGAAAAUAAUUUUAUUAUGUUUUUGAAAAAUAGUUUUGAAAAUAGUUUUAAAAAGUAUUAUAGGAGGCUCGGAUGUACUUUUUUUUUUCCUUUUAGACAUGAGAACGGAACCACUUUAAUUGCGACUACGGUAGCUAAUCGUGACCUUUAAUUGCGACUACGGUAACUAAUCGUAACCCUUCCAAAGAUUAUUGGUUCAUCGCAUUCUCAUCUUUUCUUUUCCGAUAAGUUAUCAUCAUCGUAUCGUCAUUUAGGCCUGGUUCACAGGGUCAAUUCCGGAGGGUCGUGGCCUCAAUAACACGAUAUUAUCUCAAUAACACGAUAUUAUCUUCAUCGGCCUUUAGUAUAAUAAUAUAAUAUCUGCCAAAGUCGGUAAGUAUCCACAGUAAAAUAACGUCGCGAGCUUCAAAAUUGCUUUUAUUAUCACAGGCAACGUAUCAUAGUCAAACUUAGCGAUGCACAGCACUGCAAUUCCAACGAGUAAGCAGUGAAGGCCAAACUCCAAAAAUACUAAAGAAUAGCAAGAAGAGAAUACUCCAAGUUAAAGAUUUCACGUAACGUCAAAAAUUAGCCAAGUUCGGGCAGUACUAGUGAAGCCAAAGCCAUGUCCCUAAUCACAAAAAUGCACAUAGUCAUAAAAUUACUAGGACAUCAUCAAAUCCCAGGUCAACAAAUUUAUAACAAAGAUUAAAAGAAUGAAAAUUUCAUCACGAAAACAGUGACAGUAACAAAACGAGCGGGAAGGAGUUCGCCAGAAAACUAUAUAGGUUGCUGGAAAAUUAGAGGCACAAGACUAAUUGCCAACAAAACAACAGUAAACAGUCAGGAAUCCGACAAUAAUGAACAACAGCAGUGGACUAUUGGCGUUACUUCGACGACGUUUAUUCUUUUCUGGCCUAAGCUCGAAGGUAGCGAGGAGCGAGAUAUGGUCGCCGGUGAAGGUCAUUUUUUCCGACCAGAUCUACAUAUAUUCGGUCAGAUCUGAGUGAACCAUAACAGUCGCUGGAAAAGCUAUAAGCAGACGGAGAUGAAGAUGGUCGGUCAGUGAUGUAGAGGGAGGUCGCCGGCCAGCCGGUGGUCAAAUCCGGCGGCGGUGGAGUUACAGCAGCGUGGGGAAGGGGGGGCUGGGCGUGUUCUCUCAAAGUUGAGAGAAAUCAUAUGGAAGAUAAAAGGGGAGGCGGCUGAAAAUAGAGCAAAUGUUGGGAACGGCCAGCCUAGGGCAAAAUUGAGGGAGAGAUACUAUUUUAUAUUAGGGUUUUGGUUGUCAAAAAUCCGAUGUGUUCCCUCCAAAAUGCGUGUGUAAAAAUAUCUCAUAGGGUGAGUGUAGAAAAAAUAUGUGGCUAUUAUUUUAAGUGAAAAAUAAAGACAAUGUAAAAAUAAAUACGUGGUCCAAAAUAAAAUCACUAACUAUGAAAAUCAUGUGCAAAGUAGCGUGUAAGAGAGUCAUGUCACAUCCCAUGAUAUAUGACAUCAAGUAUCAUGUCAUGCCAAUUCACAUCACUUCUCAAGUCGCGUUAUGAUGUCUUGUUACAUCGAGUGUUGAUGCGACAUUGGAUUUAACUCGAUUCGAUCCGUAUUUUUUGCAUAAAUACUAUCGGUUUCCAUGUAAUUACUAGAUCGUGCUAUAGAUUAAAAAAUCUUGUGCUAUUUAUUUAAAAUUAUAACUACUAUGAUGACAUAGUAAAUUAUUAUUUAUUUAUUGAAGGACAAUAAAUUGGUAGAAUAUCCUAAUAUUUGAAAAAUAAGACAAUUAUCAAUAAAUUGUUUGAAAUUUAGAAAAAUGCACAAAAAUGGUAGUAUUUAACCAAUUGCAAUAAAAUGAUAAAAAUUCUCGUUUUUUGUAAAAAAAAUGGGAAUAAUUAUUAAUAAAUUGCAUUACAGUUAAAAAAUGUGCAAAAUAUUAUAUUUUAUUAUUUUUUGAUUAGGAAGCCUGCAAAAGUUAAUUUUUAAAUAUGGAGGGUCAAAAUUGAGUGUCAACAGUUUUUACUUGACAUUUAUGUAAUAUUUGUUACUUGUUAUUUAACUGCUACUUGCCUUGAUUUGUUCAUUUCAUAUGCGAUUUCUGCUUAUUUGCUACGUGUUUCAAUUUGCUUUAAUUUUAUAUUUUAACUGUCACCUUUUUUUACCUGUUUUCAUUGUUUGAGAUUCCGAGAGGUUGGACACUCCCCGUUUAUACUUUGGUUCUUUAUUGUUUGUACAUUUCACCCCUAUGUGUUGUUAUUUUGCAAGUACUGUUGUUGAGUUAUUUGAGUUAAUGGUUUGAAAUUGUUUGGGGAUUGGGUUGCACACAACAACGGUAUUGAACAAUAUUGAUAUGAUAAGAAGGAAUAAGGUCGGAUUAUGAUAUGAAUAGAUGAUAUUAUGGUGGGAUCGGGUUGCGCGCUGCAACAGAUUUGAUAUGUUGUAUUAUACUUGUUUGAGAUUGUAGAAUCAUUCUUGGUAUUGUAAUAUAAGGCUUGAAGCUUUGUUAUUCUAGGCUCUCUGGUAGUUGGUUUUCGAUUCCGUUUCAUGAGUUUAUUGCUUUAUUCUACUCCUUUUUCUCUUGUUAUUAUUAUUUCGCACAGGUUAUUUGUGAGUGACCUGCCAUAGCCUCGUCACUACUUUGUCGAGUUAAGAUUCGACACUUACAGGGUACAUGAGAUCGGUUGUACUCAUACUAUACUUUUACACUUCUUAUACAGAUACUGGAGUUGAUCUCAGCGGCGCGUAGUGAGACUGCUCAGAUUCAGCUACUUGUGGAGACUUGAGGUAUAACUGCAUGGCAUCCGCAGUCUUGAAAUCCCCUUCCAUUCUAUCAUUACUGUUUAUUUAGCUUCAAAACAGUUGUAUUUUGUUCAGACUUUAUUUGUAGCACUCUAGAUUCUCAUGUAUACGUGACUCCAGAUUCUGGGAUAUGUUUAGAUUAUGUUAUUCAGUAUUCUAUCACUCUAUUUCAGACUAUUACAGAUAUUAUUGUUAACGUUUUGAUUCGAAUUGUUAAAACUUGUUAAGUAAUUUAGCUAACUGUCACGACCCUAAUUUUCCUCUGUAGGAUGUCGUGAUGGCACCUAGUCUCUAAGACUAGGUAAGACUAACAUACAUGAAGAAUAUAACUAAAACAACAAUAAAACUCUCAAAUACUCAACAACUAUCAUAAAGGAAACUUUGCAACUCAGCAUAAACAUCUUCCCAAAAUCUGGUGAUAACAAGUCACAAACUCUACGAGUAAGUACGGAUCAUCCCUAUACAACAGUGUCUAUAAAAGAGACAGAGAAUGAAGUAGACUAGAUAGAGGGUGACUCCGAGGCAUGCGGGUGCCGGCAGCUAUACCUUGAAGUCUCCGAAGUUAAGCCCGUCUCACUGGUGCCUGGACUGGAAGGAGGUACCUGGAUCUGCACAAAAAGAUGUGCAGAAGUAGCAUGAGUAUACCACAACGGUACCCAGUAAGUGCCAAGCCUAACCUUGGUAGAGUAGUGACGAGGUCAGGUCUAGGCCCUACUGGAAUAAAUAAGAAGCUAAACAUGUAUAUAAUAGUGUAAUAAUGGUAACAAUGCAAAUGAAACAAUAAGGAAAUAUACCAAGAUUAGCUACACUGAAGUCAGGCAAAUAAUGCAUCACGGAAGAAAACAAGGAAUAAUAUGGCAAGGAAACAAAGCAACCAAACACCAGUGAAGUAACAAAAAGUAUCAACAAGAAUCACUACCGAGGUACCGCCUCGUAGUCUCAUAUCACAAAAUAAUUCACAAUAUUUUCUUAUAUCAUCGCGGGAGCCUUGCAUUUAGUUUUGAAAAUUAUUUUUCCCGAAAUAGCUUCUUGCAUUUUAGCCCGCCUUAUCACAUCGUGUGGUUUCAAGUAGUUCCCCUACUAGCAACAUGUGUAUCGAGCCCACCUUAUCUCACUGUAUGCGUUUCAACCCCAAACCUUAUACCACUGCAUGCGUAUCAAUAUCACAACGUAUCACAAAUCGUACCUCAAGUACCCAAUAUCACAACUUGCCAAAGAAGUCAACAAUAAUUCUAUUUUCACAAUAAAUAGCCCAUGGCCCAACCACAAUAUGCACAAGAGUCUUAACAAUAACAACCGAAAGUGAAUAACUCAACAAAAAUAGUAUUUCACAACUUAACAACCUUGCCUCAAUGUGAAUUACGACCUUUAUAACUCAAUACCAAUUUCAAUAACAAGAUAUUCCAAGAAUAACAAUUCAAUUAAGGAACUCAACGGUUAAAUAAAGAAUAAGGAGUAUAGGAAAUAAUAAUUUCAACUAGGCAUAUAAGGGCAAACAACAAGUAAGAGGUAAAAUAGGUAUAGCAUGUGAAGAUAGACUAAAGAUGAUGAAUAUAACAUAUUAUGGUAACUCAAUUAAAGGCAUGAUAAGAAUCUACAUAGCUAGAACCGGUCAAUUACUAUAUUUAGCCCGUGUACAUACUCGUUACCUAGCGUACACGGCUUUCACACAUCAUAAUUCACACAAAAUAACACCAAUCCUAAGGGGUAAUUCCCCCACACAAAGUUAGGCAAGACACUUACCUUAAAACACGCUAACUCAAUCCACUAGUAAGCCUUUCCCUCGAUUAUCCAACUCUGAACGGCUCGAAUAUAGCCAAAACAACUUCAUACCAUAAAUAUAAACUAUAGGAAACUAUUCCGAACAAUAAAAUUACGAUCUUUAAAAAUAAAUAAAAACUCAACUCAAAAGUCAAUCAUGGGUCCGCGUCUCGGAACCCGGCCAAAAUUAUAAAAUCCGAACACCCAUUCGAUAACGAUUCCAACCAUACAAGAAUUACUCAAAUCCGACCUCAAAUUGCCUUUCAAAUCCCCAAAAUUUAGUUAAGAAGUUUUCACAAAUUUUCCCAAUUUUCCAACUCAAAUCACUAAUUAAAUGAUGAAAAUAACAAUGGAUUCACUUAAUAUAGCCCAAAUCGAGUUAGAAUAUCUUACCCCGAUGAUUUUCUUGAAAAUCCCUCGAAUAAUCGCCACAAACCAAGCUCUAUAGGUCCAAAAUAUGAAAAUGAAUUCAAACCCUUGAAGACCCCUUUUUUACCCAGCGAUCCACGCUUCUGCGGGCAUGGGGUCGCAAAUGCGAUGCCACACCUGCGGAAAAUCCAUCACAGGUACGGUUCCAACUUAGGCUCUGAAGGUUCGCACCUGCGGAACCCAUAAGUGCAUCUGCGUAACCGCUUCCGCGGAAAGCCAGUCGUGUUUGCGCCUUCGCUUCUGCGCAUCAUUGACCGCAUAUGCAGUCCCAGCUUGGCAAGACCAAAUUCACUUCUGCGGUGCCCUACCUGCGGCCCAAAAUGCACAGGUGCGAUUGCACCAGACACAAUAGAGGUUCAGCGAUGCAUCAAGUCCAAAAUUAUUCCGGAUUCAAUAUGAAUCACACCCGGGGCCCCUAGGACCCCGUCCGAAUAUACUAACACGUUCCAAAACACAUAACGGACCUACUCGAGGCCAGAAAUCACAUCAAACAAUAUCGAUUCUACGAAUUUCAAACCAAUUCAAGCCUAUGGAAACUAUGAACAUCCGAAUUCCAAAAGUAAUGCCGAUUCAUACCAAAACACCUCCUAUUGACUUCAAAUUUUGCACACAAGUCAUAAAUGACAUGACGGACCCAUUCAACCUUCCGGAAUCAAAAUCCAACCCCGAUAUCAAUAAAGUCAAUACCCGGUCAAACUUCUCAACCGUCCAAACCUUCAACUUUCUAACUUUAGCCAAUUCAAGUCGAAACGACCUACGGAGCUCCAAAUCAACAUCCGGACACGCUCCCAAGUCCAAAAUCACCAUACGGAGCUAUUGGAACCGUCAAAUCUCCAUUCCCGAGUCGUCUAUACAAAAGUCAAACUACGGUCAACUCUUUCAACUUAAGCCUCCAACUUAGGGACUACGUGUCCCAUUUCACUUUGAAACUCACCCGAAUCCAAAACCAAACACCCCCGGCAAGUUACAUAACCAUGAUACAACAUAGAGGAGGCAAUAAAUAGGAGAUCAUGGCUAAAAUACUCAAAACAACCGGCCGGGUCCUCCCCCUCUUAAAACAAACGUUCGUCCUCGAACGAGUAUAGAGACAUACCUGAAGUAGUGAAAAGAUGAGGAUAAUGGCUACGUAUACCAUGCUCGAUCUCCCAAGUUGCCUCUUCGACUAGCUGACCCCUCCACUGAACCUUCACUGAAGAAAUGCUCUUCGACCUUAACUUUCGAACUUGCCUAUCCAAAAUGGCCACCGGCUCCUCAACAUAAGACAAAUCCUUGUCCAACUGGACUGAGAUGAAAUCCAACACAUGAGAUGGAUCAUCGUGAUACUUCCGGAGCAUAGAAACAUGGAAUACUGGAUGAACUACAGCUAGACUAGGUGGCAGUGCAAGCUUGUAGUCCACCUCACCAAUCCUCUCUUGAAUCUCAAAAGGUUUGAUAUACCUAGGGCUCAACUUGCCUUUCUUCCCAAACCUCAUAACACCCUUCAUGGGCAAAACCCGGAGUAAGACCCGCUCCCCAACCGUGAAUACAACAUCACGAACCUUUCGAUCCACACAACUCUUUUGUCUCGAUUGGGUUGUAUGAAGAUGAUCUUGAAUCAAUUUAACCUUUUCCAAAGAAUCAUGAACCAAAUCACUACCCAAUAGCCUUGCCUCACCCUGCUCAAACCAACACACCGGAGACCGAUACUGCCUCCCAUACAAGGCCUCAUACGGAGCCAUCUGAUUGCUUGAUUGGUAGUUGUUAUUGUAGGCAAACUCCGCAAGUGGCAAGAACUGAUCCCAAGAACCCCCGAACUCUAUAACACAUGCACGAAGCAUAUCCUCCAAUAUAUGAAUAGUGCGCUCGGUCUUUCCAUCUGUCUGAGGGUGAAAUAUUAUACUCAACUCAACCCGUGUGCCUAACUCAUGUUGUGCGACCUUCCAGAAUUGCGAUGUAAAUUGCAUACCCCGGUCAGAGAUAAUGAAGUCAGACAAUCUCGCGAAUAUAGACCUAAGCCAACUGCUGUGAAGAAUAAGUAGUCACCACUGGAAUGAAAUGAGCCGACUUGGUCAACCUAUUCACAAUCACCCAUACUGCAUCAAACUUUUUCUGAGUCCGUGGGAGCCCAACAACGAAAUCCAUGGUAACUCACUCCCAUUUCCAUUCGAGAAUCUCAAGCCUCUGAAGUAACCCACCUGGCCACUGAUGCUCAUUAUUCACCUACUGACAAUUUAGGCACCAAGCUAUAUAUUUCACUAUGUCUUUCUUUAUUUUCCUCCACUAAUAGUGCUGCCUCAACUCCUGAUACAUCUUGGCGGUGUCUGGAUGAAUAGAGUACCGCAAACUGUGGGCCUCUCAAGAAUCAAAUCACGCAAACUAUCUACAUUGGGCACACAUAGACGGCUCUACAUUCGUAACACACCGUCAUCCCCAAUAGUAACCUCCUUGGCAUCUCUGUGCUGAACCAUGUCCUUGAGGACAAGCAAAUGGGGGUCAUCAUAUUGAUGCUCCCUCAUGCGAUCAUAUAGAGAAGACCGAGAAACCACGCAAGCCAAAACUCGAUCGGCUCUGAAACAUCCAAUCCAACAAACUGGUUAGCCAAGGGCUGAACAUCCAAUGCUAAAGGCCUCUUUGCUGCUGGUAGAUAUGCUAAACUGCCCAAGCUAUCCGCCUUACGACUCAAGGAAUCGGCCACCACAUUGGCCUUCCCGAGAUGAUACAGAAUGGUGAUAUCAUAGUCCUUAAGCAACUCUAACCAUCUCCGCUGCCGCAAGUUAAGAUCCUUCUAUUUGAACAGAUGUUGUUGAUUCCGGUGGUCGAUAUAUACAUCUUUCAAGGGAUGCCGUACAAAUAGUGCCGCCAAAUCUUCAAGGCAUGAACAAUAGCUGCUAACUCAAGGUCGUGGAUAGGAUAAUUCGUCUCAUAUACCUUCAACUGUCUAGACGUGUAGGCAAUCACCCUACCGUCUUGCAUAAACACCACGCUGAGGCCAACACACGACGCAUCAUAGCACACUAUGUAAGACCCCAAACCCGUAGGCAACACCAAUGUUGGGGAUGUUGUCAAAGAAGUCUUGAGCUUUUGAAAACUCUCCUCACAUUCCUAGGUCCACCUGAACGGAGCACCCUUCUUGAUCAAUCUGGUCAUAGAUGCAGCAAUAGAUGAGAAAACCUCUAUGAAACGACGGUAAUACCCUGCCAAACCAUGAAAAAUCCAGAUCUUAGUAGCUGAAGACGGUCUUGUCCAACUCUGCACUGCUUCAAUCUUCUUCUGAUCUACCUUGAUCCCCUCACUCAAUACCACAUGCCCCAAAAAUGACACCGAGUCAAGCCAUAAUUCACACUUUAAAGAUUUUGCAUGCAACUUCUUUUCUCUCAAGGUCUGAACCACAAUCCUCAAGUGUUGCUCAUGAUCCUACCGGCUUCGGGAGUACACCAAGAUGUCGUCAAUAAACACAAUGAUGAAUGAGUCAAGAUAGGGCUGGAAUACACUGUUCAUCAAGUGCAUAAAUGUUGUUGGGGCAUUGGUCAAUCCAAAUGACAACACAAGGAACUUGUAAUGGCCAUAUCGAGUCCUGAAGGUAGUCUUCGGAAUAUCCGGAUCCCGAAUCUUCAACUGAUAAUAGCCUGACGGCAAAUCAAUCUAUGAGAACACUCUGGCACCAUGUAGCAGAUCAAAUAAGUCAUCAAUGCAUGGCAAUGGAUACUUGUUCUUAUUGUGACCUUGUUCAACUGCCGCUAAUCAAUACACAUGCGCAUAGAACCAUCCUUCUUAUUAAUAAAAAAAACCGGAGCACCCCAAGGUGAAACACUAGGCCGAAUGUAGCCCUUAUCAAGCAACUCUUGCAAUCGCUCAUUUAACUCCUUCAACUCUGCUGGGACCAUACGAUAUGGUGGAAUAGAAAUGGGCUGAGUGCCCGACAAUAAAUCAAUACCAAAAUCAAUAUCCCUAUCGGGCAACAUGUUCGGAAGAUCCUCCAGAAAUACAUCUGGAUAGUUCCUCACUACGAGAACUGGCUCAACGGUAGGAGUAUCAACACUGACAUCCCUCACAAAGGCUAGAUAUGCAUAACACCUCUUCCCAACCAUCCGUUGUACCUUAAGGAAAAACACCACCCUGCUAGGAACAUAAUCCAAAGUACCCCUCCACUCCAACCACGACAAACGUGGCACAACCAAUGUCACCAUCUUGGCGUGACAAUAAAGAAUAGCAUGAUAGAGUGACAACCAGUCCAUGCCCAAAAUAACAUCAAAAUCUACCAUACUGAGCAACAAUAGAUCAACUUUGGUCUCAAAACCACCAAGAACAACUAAACAUGACCGAUACACACGAUCAACAAUAAUGGAAUCUCCCACUGGCAUGGACACAUAGAUAGGAGAACUCAAGGAAUCAUAGGAUAUACCCAAAUAUGGAGCAAAGUAAGAUGAUACAUAGGAAUAAGUGGAGCAUGGAUCAAAUAAGACUGAUGCAUCUCUACGACAAAUUGGAACAAUACAUGUGAUGACUAAGUCUGAUGUAACCGCCUCCAUCCUAGUUGGAAGAAUAUAAUAUCUGGCCUGGCCUCCCCCUUUAAGGCGACCCCUACCCGCCCGACCUCCACCCCUAGCUGGCUAAACUGGUGGAGUGGCAACUGGUGCGGUAACCACGACCUGAGAAGCUUGAGGACCCUGUGGAAUACGUGGAGCCUGAGUAGUCUGGGGCAAUGUCUCACCAUAUUACGAGUAUCACCACACUCAAAACAAGCUCUCGUAGGACGUGGCGGCUGAAACUGGCUUGGGCCUGGUCGGCUGGACUGACCACUAAAAGCACCCCGUGCAAGAGGUGCACUAGACAAUGGCAGUGCAUAAUGGGCAACCUGAGACCUGGGAGUAGCCGGAAUACCACUGGAAGCUGGAAGUGUUGAAUGAAUGGGACGAAUCACAUAGCCUCUACCAUGACAGGCUGCAACUGGGUCCCAGGCACCACUAUAUGUGCCAGAAUCUCAAGGCCUCUUGGCCUCUCUGUCCUCUCUCUCCCGGCCCCACAUACCCUUCAAUCUCUGAGCGAUCUCCACCAUCUGCUGGUAUGGGGUAUCAGUCUCUAACUCUCGAGCCAUGCUAAAUGUAAUACUAUGGUUGAGCCCCUCGAUAAAUCGACGGACUCGCGCCCUGACUGUGGAAACUAAGGGUGGUACAUGUCUAGACAACUCGUUGAACCUGACAGCAUACUCUGACACGGUCAUAACAUCCUGGCGCAACAGCUCAAACUACAUAUGCCAUGAAUCCCAAAGGCUCUAAGGAACAAACUCUCUCAUGAACAUGUCUGAAAACUGAGCCAUUGUGAGUGAAGCUGCCCCGACGGGGCUGUCUAACUCGUACGCUCGCCACCACUCAUAAGUCGCUCCCUUAAGCUGGAACGUAGUGAAAACAACCCCAUUCGACUCCAUAAUACCCAUAUUACGGAGGAUACGGUGGCACUCCUCAAGAAAAUCAUGUGCAUCUUCUGAAGCUAAGCCGCUGAAAGGAGGGGGUGGUACUUUUGGUACCUCUCGAGCCAGAGCUGCUCCCCCUCAGAUGUUGUUGCCCUAACCUCGGGCUGAACUGGGACAAUCGACUACACUGGUAUAACCUCUAGGACCUAGUCAACCUGGACCCGCUGUUCUGGGGUACGGGCUACGGGAGUUUAUGCUCCUCCCCCAGCCUGGGAUAUGGCCGGUAUAAGUGGGAUCAACCCUUCCUAAGCUAGAGUACCAAACAUGCUCAAGGACUGGGCGAGAGUCUCAUAAAGUGCAGGGGUAGUAACAGGGGUCUCAGGUGCCUACCCCCAACUGGAGCCAUUGAUGGCUCCUCUGUAGCAGCUCGGGCAAGUGCUCUAGCUGUACCACGUGCCCGUCCUCUUCCUUUCCCCCUAGCCCAGCCUCUCGUGGCUCUAGCAGGGGACACGAGUGUCUGAUCAUCAGAUCCAGCUGUGCGUGUCCUCACAAUCUGUGAGAGAAAAGAAAGACAAAGAUUUAGAAUUUCGAAGUCAACAAAUUCGCACGAGAAGGAAUCAAAGAGGUGAAGCUUUUCCUAACAGUUCCAUAGUCUCCCGAAGAUAAGUACAGACGUCUCUGUACCAAUCCGCGAGACUCUACUAAACCUGCUUGUGACUCAUAAUACCUAUGGACCUAGAGCUUUGAUAUCAACUUGUCACGAUCCCAAUUUCCCUCCAUAUGAUGUCAUGAUGACACCUAGUUUCUCAGACUAGUUAAGCCUAACAUACAUGUAGAAUUUAACUGAAACAAUGAUAAAACUCUCAAAUACUCAACAACUAUCAUAAAGGAAACUUUGCAGCUCAGAAUAAACAUCUUCCAAAAAUCUGGCGAUAACAAGUCACAAGCUCGACGAGUAAGUACAAAUCAUCCCUAUAGCUUCCCGCAUUUUAGCCCACCUUAUCACACAGUGUGGCUUCAAGUAGUUCCCCUACUAGCAACACGCGUAUCAAGCCCACCUUAUCUUACCGCCUGCGUUUCAACCCCAAAUAUUAUACCACCGCAUGCAUUUCAAUAUCACAACGUAUAAUCGCACCUCAAGUGACCAAUAUCACAACUUACCAAAGAAGUCAACAAUAAUGGUGUUUCUACAAUAAAUAGCCCAUGGCUCAACCACAAUAUGCACAAGAGUCUCAACAAUAACAACCGGAAGUGAAUAACUCAACAAGAAUAGUAUUUCACAACUUAACAACCUUGCCUCAAUGUGAAUCACGACCUUUAUAACUCAAUACCAAUUUCAACAACAAGAUAUUCCAAGAAUAACAAUUCAAGUAAGGAGCUCAAUGGUUAAAUAAAUAAUAAGGAAUAUAGGAAACAAUAAUUUCAACUAGGAAUAUAAGGGCAAACAAAAAGUAAGAGGUAAAAUAGGUAAAGCAUGUGAAGAUAGACUAAAGAUGAUGAAUAUAACAUAUUAUGGUAACCCAAUUAAAGUCAUGAUCAGAACCUACAUAGCUAGAACCGGUCAAUUACCCAAUUUAGCCCAUGUACACACUUGUCACCUUGCGUACACAACUUCCACACAUCACAAUUCACACAAAACAACACCAAUCCUAAGGGGUAAUUCCUCCACACAAAGUUAGGCAAGACACUUACUAUAAAACACGCUAAGUCAAUCCACUAGUAAGCCUUUCCCUCGAUUAUCCAACUCUGAACGGCUCGAAUCUAGCCAAAAUAACUUCAUACUAUAAAUAUAAACUAUAGGAAACUAUUCUGAACAAUAAAGUUACGAUCUUUAAAUAGAAAUAAAACGUCAACUCAAUAGUGAACCCCGGGCCCGUGUCUCAGAGCCCGACCAAAAUUACAAAAUCCGAACAGACGGUAUCUCCCCAUGGCCUUUCGGCUCUGAAAGCGUCCUUCUUUCUCAAUGCUCGGGCAUCCAUCCAAUGCAUUCUUUUCAAUUUUGUACCCUAUGUAGGCUUGCAAAGCAUAGGUGUCACAAGCGGUACACUGAACACUAACCCAACCUCGACGAAAAAAAGGAAAAUCAAGUACAUCCUUAACCCAUUCGAUAAAGAGUUCAACCAUACAAGAAUUACUCAAAUCCGACCUCAAAUCGCCUUUCAAAUCCCCAAAAUUUAGUCUAAGAAGUUUUCACAAUUUUUCCCAAAUUUUCAACUCAAAUCACUAAUUAAAUAAUGAAAAUAACAAUGGAUUCAAUUAAUAUAGCCAAAAACGAGUUAGAAUCUCUUACCCAGAUGAUUUCCUUGAAAAUCCCUCGAAUGAUCACCACAAGCCGAGCUCUCUAGGUCCAAAAUAUGAAAAUGAAUUCAAACCCUCGAAGACCCCUUUUAUGCCCAGCGAUCCACUCUUCUGCAGGCAUGGGGUCGCAUAUGUGACACUGCACCUAUGGAAAAUCCACCGCAGGUGCGAUUCCAAGUUAGGCUCUAAAGGUUCGCACCUGCGAAACCCAUUAGUGCAUCUUCGCAAUUGCUUCUAUGGAAAGCCAGUCGCAUUUGCGCAUUCGCUUCUGCGCGCCAUUGACCGCAUCUCCGGUCCCAGCUGGGCAAGACCAAAUUUGCUUCUGCAGAUCGAGGGCUGCUUCUGCGGUGCCGCACCUGCGGCCUAAAUUGUCCAGGUGCGAUUGCACCAGACACAACAAAGGUUUAGCGAUGCAUCAACUCCAAAAUUGUUCUGGAUUCAAUCCGAAUCACACCUGGGGCCCCCAGGACCCUGUCUGAAUAUACCAAUAAGUUCAAAAACACAUAACGAAUCUACUCAAAGCCAAAAAUCACAUCAAACAACAUUGAUUCUAUGAAUCGCAACCCAAUUCAAGCCUAUUGAAACUAUGAAGAUCCGAAUUCCAAAACUAAUGCAGAUUCAUACCAAAAUAACUCCAAUUGACUUCAAAUUUUGCACACAAGUCAUAAAUGACAUGUCGGACUUAUUCCAACUUCCGGAAUUGAAAUCGAACCCCGAUAUCAAUAAAGUCAACUCCAGGUCAAACUUUUCAACCUUCCAAACUUUCAACUUUCUAACUUUCACCAAUUCAAGUCGAAACAACCUACAGACCUCCAAAUCAACAUCCGGAUAUGCUUUCGAAGUCGUGCGAUAAUUCCAUAUAUUUUUGACGUUAUUUACCCUACUUUCUUGUUGUUUGGAUGCUAAUUUGUACGACAAUUACGUUUAAUAGAGCUUAUUUCACGUGUAGGAAUGCUUGGACAUGAAUUGGAGAAAGAUGGCACGAAAUGGUAUCUCAGAGCUACAAAAUGGAGAAAAAAAAGAAGACGUGCAAGGCAAUGAAAAGUCAUGGCCAUAGACAGUGCAAGGCAUUAUCCAGGGUACUGUCAUUGGCGCUCCAAACAGUGCCUUGUGUAGAAAUAAUGGUGCCAUAGACAGUGCCUCACACAGAAAUAUUGGUGCCCCAGACAGUGCCUCGCGCCGACGAUGCCAUCCAAGCAAAUUUUAAUUCCUCACUAGUUUUGGAUAUGUAGACUUCGGCCCCUACCCUAUAAAUACGUCUUAAAGUUAGUUUUUGAAAGGUUAGACAUCAUUAGAAAGGCAAGAGGCUACGGAAUACUUUGGAAGCACGAAUCACUCGAGUUUUUCUCCCUGCUUUCCUUUUAUUUCUAGUUUAAUGCUCUUAGAUAUUACUAUGAUUAUCUACACAAUUAUGAGUAGCUAAACCCGCCAUCUAGGGUUGAUGGAACCAAUUAUUGGAUAAAGUCUUGAUUGCAUUUUGAUAUAAUAGACCCGUCAUCUAGUUAUCUUGUGAUGCUUAAGAAAGAACACUUGAUUAGAUUAUUGUUGAACAACGCCACUUUCGAGUAAGCUAAGAUAUUAAUUAUUCAAAUUUAUAAGCGGGAUUAGAGAUAACGAAGCUUUGGCGCGAUAUUUAUGAGUUGUAUGAAUUGUCAACUAGAGUAGUUCAAGAGAAUACUUCUAGUAAAUUAUCAUAAUUGAGCGAGAGAUAAUUGCGGUAAAUAAGAACUCAUCAUCUUUAGAGAGUGUUACGACGAGAUUAUAGCCAGCGUGUCAGGAAUUAAUCCGACAAUUGGAGAAAUCAUAAACCCUAGAUCCUUUUAUCCAUGAAUUCAACCUCAUUCUUUCUAAUUGAUAGUUUUUAUUGUCAUUUUUCCUUAGUUAAGUAAUUUCUGUUAAUUCACAAAUCAAAUCUUGAACUCUGAAAGUUGUCUGAGCUUAUUAUUAGUGAUACUGGAAAGUUGUAGCAAAUAGGUUAGUUAUCUGCGGGAUUCCACUCCGGACUCUUGAACCAGAUUAUUUUUGUAGUGACUGCUUAGUCCUUUUUAUAAGGCAUAGUUGGGCAUGAUCAAAUUUUAGCGCUGUUGCCAGGGGAUUAAAGAUGUUAUUCAUUACAACUUGAAAGAAUUGCUAGGAUUGUUAGUUUAGAUCUAUUUUCCGUGGUGCUAAAAUUAUUUCCAUUGAAAUUCUCACGUUUGAAUUCUUCUGAGCCUCAGGUGCCUGCCUAUAAGCUCCUUGAGAACUGGUGAACUAUUUAAAGGUCUCUCAAAUCCCGAGAAAGCAUUCAGGACAUUGAAUCGGGCUAAUAAGAAGGGCAAACAGCAAAAACAGAAUGAACAAAUCAAAAUUGAAAUGGGUGAUGUCGAGAACGUCAACGGGAACAAUAAAAAUAAUCAAGUUGACCCAAACAUCGGAAUGGUAGCACCUCUUGUGCUAGAAGCUUCUCUAUAUGAUUAGGUGCAACCAACCGCUGACAAUCCGGCAACUGCAAUUGCAGUCCCUUCGAUACAAGCGGAGACUUUUCAAAUUACAAACAAUAUGUUGCACUUGCUGCAGAAUAAAGUGUUGUUCUCCGGGUCGUACAUCGAAGACCCACAACAACAUCUGAAGAAUUUUCUAUCAAUUUGUGUCAAUCAAAGACAGCCAAAUGUGACACCCGAAGCAAUUAGAUUGUUACUAUUUCCAUUCUCAGUGACUGGGGAGGCUCAAACUUGGCUGCAUUCGCUCCCAAUAAACUCCAUUCCUACUUGGGAAGAACUAGUCAAGCAGUUCUUAAACAAGUUCUAUCCAUCCAACAAGACUGCAAGGCAAAUUGAUGAGAUAUUACAGUUCAGGCAGAAACCAACUGAAACUUUGCAAGAAACCUGGAAGAGGUUUAAGGGUAUGCUGGUGAAGUGUCCAUACCAUGGCAUCCCGGAUCAGAUGCUAGGACAGAGAUUCUAUAUGGGUUUGGCUGACAGUCUGAAGGCCAAUGUAGAUGCUUCAGCCGGGAGUGCAUUCUUGAGCAAAUCAUUCAUAGAGUGUAAGAUUCUUCUUGACAAGAUGGCUCAAAAUUCAGGCUGGAUGACGAGGGAUACAACUCUCACUCCAAUAUAGCAUUCUAUUGCUCUUGACCCAAAAAAUACAAAUGCAGAAAACAUAGUCACUCUCAUGACCUAGAUGAGCUUGUUGACAAAGAAAAUUGAUGAGAUGGGCACGGAACAGGUUCAUAUUGUUGACACAACAAAUGGAGGCCUAUGCACUUCAUGCAUAAAUUAGUCGUAUGUUUGCUCGUGGAGUGGAGAGAAUGAUAACCAAGGCUUCAAAGAAGACAUGAAUUACGUAAAUAAUUUUGGGGGUCAGAGGCAAGGUGGACAUCAAUGGGGACCUCAAAAUCAACAGUACAUACCAACCCAGUAACAAUACAAUACCAAUCCUGAGGGAGCACGACCACAAGGCCAAGUUGUGGCCUAUCAAAGACAGUUGGGUUACAAUCAGCAUCACUUACAACAGUUGGCUUACCAACAACCUCAUCAACAACAGGUGACCAGACAGGAUGACAGGAAUAUGAUAGAAAUCAAGGGCAUGAUGCAACAAAUCAUUGGGACAAAUGGAAGGAUGCGAGAAAAGUUAGUCGUACAAUCGCCCACAAGGAAGUCAACUAUUAAAGGUAUUGAAACUCAGUUAGGCCAGCUGUCCAUGUCUUUGAACAAUCACCCACAAGGAAUGUUUCCUGCAGACACAAACUGUCACGACCCCAAACCGAUGGGCCGCAAUGGGUGCCCGAGUCCUACCUGUCGAACACCCUUAAACAUGCGUUUAAGAUAUAAACAUGUAUAACAUAUGCGAGGGAAACCUGUCCGAAAGACAUAUGUACAUAUACAUGCGGAAUACAGUGGGCGAGCCGGCAAGGCUGCUAUAGAAAACUAUAUACCCAAAACUGGAAGCCGACAAGGCGACAUACUACCCUAGCUAUACAUAACUGUCUACAGACCUCUAAUAGAAAUACAAUUGUACAAAGAUGGGACUGAACCACGUCAUACCCAUAUAUGUAUACACGCAUAUCGUACCAAAAUCAAAAGCAGCUCCGGAUUAAGUGGAGCACGCCAACUCUCGCUGAUCAAGGAUCCUAAGAAGGGGGACCGUCAGCUUGCCUACCUGCACCUGCGGGCAUGAAACGCAGGCCCUGAGAAAUAUGGCAUCGGUACGAAUAAUGUACUGAGUAUGUAAGGCAUGAAAAUCAAUACAUAAAAGACAUAGAUGAAACAUGGAAUAAAGAAUUCUGACUGUAAGUUUGAAUCACUUUGUAAAUCCUGAAACAUUUAAAAUAUCAUGCACAUGCGUAUAAAUGUCGUGUCAUGCAUAGGUAUAGGUGUACAUAAUAUCAUCAAGCCUCUGAGGGCAUCCCAUCAUAUCAUCUCGGCCACUGUGGGCAAAACCAUCAACAUAUACCAACUGAUCAGGUAGUGGUGCGUAUAUAACGCCGUAUAUAUAUAUAUAUAUAACGACAUCUAGUCAUGAGUCAAUGUACAUGUAUAAAUGAAUGACAUGCAUGAAAAUAUGCUAAUAAUCUCAAUAUUCUGUUCGGAUAAAUUUUAUCAACUGUGUAUUAUUCUGAGACCCAUGAACAGAAGAUAUAAUAAUAUGUCACAUGGGGAAUCAAGAACACAGAGACCCCAAGUAUUUCUAUGAAUAGAGUCGUUAAUGGAAAUUGUGUGUUUGCUCGUUUCUUCUAUAUAAUUUGGAUCAUGCCAAAAAGAAUGAAGGGAUAGCCUUAACAUACCUGGAGUAGGGAAAAAUCUGUAUGAUAUUCUUGGAAAAGGUUGCACUGUACUCCCUUAGAAUCACAAAAUCCAACGUUGCUACUGUGCUAAGAAAUCUGGUUGGUUGAAGAAAUCACGUUGUAAUGUUAGAAAUGAAUCAUGUGAAAUCACGUUGUAGUGUUAGAAAUGAAGAAAUCACGUCUGAUUGUUAGAAAUGAAAAGGUUAGAAAUGAAAUGUCUUGUAUUCUUAACUAUGAAAAGAGUUAGGAAAGUCUUGGUGAAGUUUGAAGAGAUUAUGACUAUGCUUAACAGAAACGUUAAGAGAAGUGAGUUACUGAAGUUAUGGAAAGUUUUUAUUAAAAGUCUUAGAAUUAAAGUGUUGUUAGAAAAUGAAAACAUUAGGCAUGAGAUGUCUUGUAACUAACAUACUAGAUUGCCACAUAAUCCAAAGUGACUAUGAGUCAUUUAUUUGGAAAGUGGCUUGAUGCCACGUUUUGGGGGGGGGGAGGGGUUAAUCUUAUCUUAUAAUUUAUUAACUAAUUGGGUAAUAUUCUGUUACCCGGUAAUUAACCAAUUACCCGCAUAAUUAAGAAUUGUCUUGAAUUACUUAAAAUUUUACUCAUUUUUAAUACACCUUAUAUAUCAUACUAUCAUGGUCAAUGGUACCUUGUANNNNNNNNNNNNNNNNNNNNNNNNNCAACCUUCAACGAAACUCAUUUUCUUUAAUUCGUGUACCCUUUAUCCUUCACGGCACUUACUUAUCGUUUGUUAUAAAUAGCAUAAAUAUGUUAACCUCAAAAUAAUCUCAUCCCCGCAUCUACGUCGAUUAACUGAAGACGAAACUUUAACGUAUGAAAAUGCGAGAUGUAACACAAACAUCAAUCCAAAAGAGCAGAACCCGAAUCAGUUAAUGGCAGUGAGUCUCAUGAAUGGAAGGGAUUUGGAUAGAGAGCAUGAAGUUGUCCAAUAUAUUAGAGACGUAGGGCCACUUACUCCCGUGCCAUUCGAGAUUGAUGAGUCGACAGAGCUCAAAGAGGUUGUAAUUGAACAAGCAUAAGUUGACACAUGCAAAGAGAAGGAAAUUGAACAACUCCCAGAACAGGUAGUAGAAAAGACUUUUAAUCAGGAAAAGACAUAGAGCAAUGGGCAGAAGCUAAUUCUAGCACCAUUCCCUCAAAGGUUGGUGUUCGGUAGUGGUAAGACCUAUGGCUAAAAAAAUGUCUGAUCCCGAUAGUUUCACUAUCCCAUGCACAAUUGGAAGUUAUGCUUUUGCUAAAGCAUUGUACGACUUGGGAGCCAGUAUUAACUUGAUGCCCUUGGUAAUCUACACAAAGUUGGGCAUUGGCAGAGCUAGACCAACCUCAAUGUUGCUGCCACCGACUGAUCGCACAGUGAAAAGGCCAAUAGGAAUCCUGGAUGAUGUGCUCGUCCAAGUGGGGAAGUUUGUAUUUCUUGCUAAUUUUGUGAUUCUUGACUGUCAGGUGGACGAAGAAAUACCCAUAAUUUUGGGAAGGCCAUUUUUAGCCACUGGGACAACAUUGAUUGACUGUGAGACUGGAGAGUUGAAAAAUGAAGUUGAAUAAUGAAGAAAUAAUAUUCAAUGUUUAAUAGUCAUAAUAUUCAAUGUUUAAUAGUCUAUGAGGAGGCCCAGCGAAUUUGCAAAUUGUUCGCUAGUGGAGGCCGUUGAUGUGAUACUACAAGAGGAGGAUGAGACUCUUAAUGUCAGAGACCUAUUAGAAGCUUGUUUGAUGAAUUUGAACGAAGUGGAUGGUGAAGAGUUGGCAGAGUGGGUUAUGUCUCUCGAAGGUCAAGGGUUCUGUAAAAGGGAACCUCAGUUUGAGCCACUACACUUAGAAGAAAGAGAAACACCACUUGCGAAGCCGUCAAUAGAGGAACCACCACAGUUAGACCUGAAACCGCUUCUAGCUCACCUUAGUAUGCUUUCUUAGGGCCUAAUUCUACUUUACCUAUUAUUAUCGCCUCCACUUUGUUAGCUGUGCAGGUAGAACAAUUCCUACAGGUGUUAUAGGAAUGUAAGACUGAUAUUGGUUGGAUCAUGGAAGACAUUAAGAGUAUCAGCCCAGCCUUUUAUAUGCACAAGAUUCUCUUGGAAGAGGGGCACAAACCUUCCAGGGAACAUCAAAGAAGGAUGAACCUGAAUAUGAAGGAAGUGGUGAAGAAGGAAGUGAUUAAGUAGUUGGAUGCGUGCAUCAUCUUCCCGAUUUCGGAUAUCGUCCGGGUAAUCCCAGUCCAAUGUGUUCCGAAGAAAGGUGGCAUGACUGUUGUACAGAAUGAGAAUAAUGCGUUAAUCUCUACUCAUACAGUCACGAGUUGGCGAAUUUGCAUGGAUUACUGAAAAUUGAACACGGCCACCCGGAAAGACCAUUUUCCACUGCCAUUCAUUGACCAAAUGUUGGAUAGGUUGGCAGGGAGGUCUCACUUUUGCUUUUUGGAUGGAUAUUCGGGGUACAAUCAGAUCAUAAUAGCCCCUGAGGAUAGAGAGAAAAUGUCAUUUACUUGUCCGUAUGGCAUCUUUGCCUUUCGGAGAAUGCAAUUUGGCCUAUGCAAUGCACCGACCACUUUCCAGAGGUGUAUGUUAGCCAUUUUCACUGAUAUGGUUGAAGAUAUUAUGGAAGUCUUUAUGGAUGAUUUCUAAGUAGUGAGGAAUUCAUUCGAAGAUUGUCUUCACAAUUUGAGAAGAGUGUUGAAAUGGUGUGUAGAGACAAACCUAGUGCUGAAUUGGGAGAAAUGUCAUUUUAUGGUACAAGAAGGUAUAGUUUUGGGGCAUCGAGUGUCAAGUAAGGGUAUUGAGGUCGACCAUGCUAAGGUUGACGUGAUUGAGAAGUUUCCACCGACCACUUCGGUCAAGGCAGUAAGAGGUUUCCUUGGGCAUGCUGGUUUCUACAGGCGAUUUAUAAAGGAUUUCUCUAAAAUUGCUAAUACCUUAUGUAAACUGCUUGAAAAGGAUCACCCCUUUGUGUUUUCUGAUGAUUACAGAUUAGCAUUUGAGGAGCUGAAUAAGAGACUGGUGACUGCACCUAUCAUCGUUGCACCCGACUGGGAGCAACCAUUUGAGCUCAUGUGUGAUGCGAGUGACUAUGCUAUAGAAGCAGCUUUGGGGCAGCGAAAGGACCAAAUGAUGCACCCAAUUUACUAUGCAAGCAGAACGCUAAGCGGUGCACAACUCAAUUAUACCGUGACUGAGAAAGAGAUGUUGGCUGUGGUGUUUGCAUUCGACAAAUUCAGGUCUUAUUUGAUAGGUUCAAAAGUGAUUGCUUAUACUAACCAUGCAGCGCUUAGGUACUUGAUAGCAAAGAAGGUGUCAAAGCCACGUUUGAUCCGUUGGGUUCUUUUGCUACAAGAAUUCAAUUUGGAGAUCCGCAAUAGGAAAGGAACGGAGAACCAAGUGGCAGACAAUCUUUCAAGGUUAGAGGGAGUUGAAAAGAAAGUAGAGGUUGAAGAUAUAACAUAGACAUUCCCGGAUGAACAAUCACUAGCAGUUGCAAUGGAGGAGAUGCCUUAGUAUGCUGAUAUUGCUAACUUUUUGGCUAGCGGUAAUGUACCUUAUGAACUCUCUUCGAUUCAAAAGAAAAAGUUCUUUAGUGAUUGUCAGUCUUAUUACCGGGAUGAACCUUUACUUUUUAAAAUAUGUGUGGAUAACAUGAUCCAGAGGUGUAUCCCCGAGAAAGAUUAAUCUUCUAUUUUGCAGGCUUUCCACGCUUCACUAUAUGGUGGGCACUUUGGAAUUAGGUUUGUAUUGGCUGACGCUAUUCAAGGAUGCCCAUGCCUGGGUGAAAAGUUGUGAUGAGUCCCAAAUAACCGGUAACAUAUAUCGUCGUCAUGAGAUGCCAAUGACUACAAUUCAAGAGGUGGAACUGUUUGACGUAUGGGGGAUUGAUUUUAUGGGACCAUUUGUCAGCUCAUAUGGUAGCAAGUACAUAUUGGUAGCAGUUGACUAUGUCUCCAAAUGGGUUGAAGCGGUGGCUCUUCCAAUAAAUGAUGCUAAGGGAGUGAUAGGAUUUCUAAGAAAAAAUAUUUUCACAUAGUUUGGCACUCUGAGAGCUAUAAUCAGUGAUGGUGGAACUCAUUUCUGCAAUAGAGCAUUCGCAAGGCUGUUAGAAAAGUAUGGAGUUCGCCAUAAGGUUGCCACACCUUACCACCCGCAAACGAGCGGGCAAAUGGAAGUGUCCAACAGGGAAAUCAAAAGUGUCCUGACCAAGACAGUGAAUGUGACUCGGACUGAUUGGGAAAGUAAGUUGGAUGAUGCGUUAUGGGCUUACCGCACAACAUUUAAAACCCCAAUUGGUAUGUCUCCGUACAAGUUGGUGUUUGGAGAAGCAUUCUAUCUUCCGGUGGAGCUUGAGCAUAAAGCCUUAUGGGCACUGCGGCAGUUGAAUUUCGAUAUGGAAACCGUAGGCAUAAGUAGAGUUAUAGAGUUACAUGAACUCAAGGAGUUCUGGUUCCAGGAAUUCGAGAGUAUGAGAUUGUAUAAAGAAAGGAUGAAGAUGAUGCAUGUUAAGCACAUUCUAGAUAGGAACUUCAAACCCGGAGAUCUAGUGUUGUUAUACAACUCGAGAUUGAUUUUAUUUCCGGGUAAGCUGAAAUCUAGAUGGUCGGGACCAUUUAGAGUUGUGCAAGUGUUCCCAAGUAGAGCGGUAGAAAUUGAGUCUGAAGAUGGAACGAAUAGGUUUAAAGUGAAUAGGCAAAGGUUGAAACACUACCUUGGAAUGAUUGAAGAAAAAUGGGAGAAAGAUGUGAUGUACUUGAAAGAGCCCCAAUAUGUGAGCAAAUAUCCUGAAAGCAUGCGUUGUGCCGUGAUGUUAAAUCAGGCGCUUCCUGGGAGGCAACCCAUGGUCGUGUUGAAUUUGUCAUGCCAUGACGUUAACUAAGGUGCUUAUUGGGAGGCAACCCAAUUCAUAGCGUAGAGUUAGUUUAGUUUUAGUUUUAGUUUUUGUGUGAUAAUGAGGUGGACUAACAAGUGCGUUUUGUGUGAAUUUGACGUGUUUUGAUAGGUUGUGGAGCUAUGUGGAAGGAAGAUGUGCUCGGGUGUCCUAAACAAGCUAAAAGGUUGCAAAAAGAACAAGAAAACAUCGAGCCAUCGCGAGGCGAAGUACAAAUGGUGAGUUUUGCACAACUCAUGUUGCCUAGCGAGGAAAUGUCCAGACGCCGCCCCAGACCCCUCCCCGCGCUAAAUUUUCAGUGCCUCUCACGCCACCUUGUGCAGUCCAACGCGCUAAGGCUAGCGCCCCUGAUGGCGCCUCGUGUGAUAUUAUCGUUGCUGCCCACACCGCCUCGCGCCAAGGCCCAGGUAAGUCUUUAAAAUAAAAUAAUAAUCCAGCAUUAACAUCAAUUAAAAUAAUCCAGCAUUAACAUCAAACACACACACUCAUAACAUAACCCCUUAAUACCUAAAUUCUCUCUUCCCCACCCCACUGUAGUGUCCCCUCCAACAACACACACACGCACUACCACCAUCUCAACCCACUGCCUCGCCACUCUCUCAACCACCAGGUAUAGUUCUCUCUCUCUCCUCUUUUCUAUCUUUUUCUAUGUAAAUUUUAGUGUUGGGUAAUAUGCUCUACAAGGUACAACAAUGGUGCAGUUGUGCUAAAAAUUAUCCAACCCCGAAUAUCCUAUAAGAUAUCUUGUGAUUGUUGUAACGAGUGUUUCACACUCGAUUCCCAAGUUGAUUUGGGAGGGUGGAGCAAUCCUUCAGCCACAAAGAAACUCACACACAAAUAAUGCCUACAAGGUGCUCGAUAAAUUUCCUCAUUGGCGAUUUUAGUCCCAUUUGGAGCCUGAGUCUUUGGAAUAGAUUGUUUUGUGUUAGGAGAGCAUGAUUGAUAUGAAAACCUAAGUGUGGGGUGACUCUACAAAGUUGGUGUGGAUUGAUAAAGUGUGUUUGCAAUGACAUACGAGCUAUGUGUAGUGCCGAAAUUUAGAUGCUAAUACACUUACUUGAUGAAGGCGAAGUCUGAGAAGCCUAUGGUUUAAAGUAAUUAGCAUAUCUUAUAGCUUUAAGUGUGGGGUCACUCCGACCUUAUUUUUGUGAUAGUUGUUUCCUUCCAUUAACAAUUGGCAUGGUUGAUAGGUACGUGCAAUAUGGGUCGUCCAACAGCUAGUUCUAAGGCACCGGCUAAGGCCAAGGCACCACCAAAGGCAAAGGCUACCUCGUCAGGCACAUCGCCAAAGAAAAGGACCAAAGUUGAGGCUACGUCUGGUAGUCACAGUGGUAAAGGAAAGCAAGGGGCUUCUGCUUCUACCGGGGCACAACCUCAAGAGAGAGCGACUCGUGAGUAUGGCAUCAAGAGUGUGCCCCCAUAUGGGAGAGCAUUUUACAGGAAGUGUCGCCCAAACUCAUAUCUCCCUAAUUUUACAGUUGAUGAGCAAAAAUUGAAGUCAUGUUACCCUUAGUAUUGGGAAAUAAUACAUGAACUAGGAUUGGGUUUUGUGUUUAAAAAUCCGGGAGAGGCAAACUUUAGCUUAGUACGCGAGUUCUAUGCCGGGUGGAACCUUGAAGAUAAGGAGCAAUUGGUACCUAUUCGUGGGAGGCUGAUUGAUAUUUCGGCAAGUGCAUUAUGUAGAUUUUUGGAUGCACCUGAUGUCCCAUGUAGUCCGUUGUGUGACUUUAUUGACCGGCCUUCUUACAAAGAUAUAGGCACACACUGUGUGGUGUUAAUUCGAAUGCGGUGUAAACACGAGACAAAAAAUACAACACCCGUACUUCUCUGCCUAAAGUGAAGUUUACAAAAAUUGCUAAAGUAUGGUUGCGCUUGGUGAACACGAGACUACUUCCAUGUGAUCAUGAUUCUGCUGUUGUCCGCGAGAGAGUAUGUCUAGUGUAUUUCUUGAUGAAAGGGUGGACGGCGAAUAUGGGCCAGUUGAUACGUAGUCAGAUGGAACAAUCUCGAAAGGGCACGCUUACUAGGAUAUGCUUUGUGAAUAUGCUUACGCAAUACUUGCUUAAAGAGCAGGUGGAUGAGGAGCCAAGGUUUUACUUGUUGAUUCCAUCCACAUCUCGAGCUACCGAUAUUGUUGUUAUUCGUGGGCUAUAUGAGGAAGAUGGUACGGCAUUGACUACAGCGGAGCAUUAGGCUCGCGAUGAGAGCGUUCUGGUUCAUUUGUAUAGGAUGAUGGAUUUUCAGUUAAGGAUUGGGGGUAGGCCUGCUACUUCAGAGGAGAGGACUCACCUGACUGAGCAGUUCCCGCUCACCUCACCGGCACAACGAUUGGUUGGUUUAGCUGCGGGUCAGGGGGUGCUACCAGAAGAAGAUAUCAACACUCUAGAGCAUUCAGUACAGGGUGACGGGGAGUAGGUUGAUCCAACAGUUGAGCCAACGGUUGAUGCCACUGGUGAGGAUCUGGGUUAUGAUGUUGAUGAGGCUGACCGGGCCUUCUUCGAUGAGGGCCAUCGUCUCGAGGAUUGAUCGGGGAGUUUUUUAUUCACCCUUUCUACUUUAAUUAUGCAUUGGGGACACUGCAUGUUUUAAGUGUGGGGUGGGUAACUCUCAUUGUGCAUAGUAGGAAUAGAUUAGUAACCUUAUUAGCUUCUUAUAUUUUUAAUUUUAGCUUCUUAUAUUUUUAAUUUCUAGCUUCUUAUAUUUUUAAUUUCUAGCUUCUUAUUUUCUUUAUUGUUAGCUUCUUGUUUUAUUAUUUUAGGAUACUCUAAAAUAGUAUUAAGUAGUGUAGUAGUUUUUAUUUUUUGGUUUUUUUAUUUUCGAAAAAAAAAGAAAAAAAUGGACUUUUCUCGACGAUGGAUCUCCUAGACAGUUUUCUUGAGGGAUUAAAGUCUAAACAAAAAAUACAAAAAAAUUAGAAAAUAGAAAAUACAAAAAUAUGUCUAUUUUUUAUUUUUCUUAGGUAGUAAUAAUCCCUCGUGGUUUUUCUUUGUACCUCAGUUCUUUUUCAUGGGAUGUAACUUGAACCGGGUAGUAGAUUUAUUUUUUUAUUUUUACUUUUAGAAUAGUAUGUAGGAAAUAAAGGAGAAGAAUUGAUGUGAUUUGUACCCUUUGACUUGUUUGAUGGUUGCAUACUUAGGUUUUGGCAUGCGUUUCACCUUCCCUUAGCUUUAAAUAUAUGACGAUGCCUUGGUAAAAAUGAAUAGCAUGUGGUAUAACUCCUAUGUCUCGGUUGCUUUACUUGUGUUCACUUUGUGCUUUAUGCUUAAUAUAUCUCUUGGCCUUGUGAAUACUUGUUUGAGUGAGAGUCCGAAUGAAACUGUCAUUAGUGAGUCAUGUGCCAUGUGUGAAGUGAGUUCUUUGUAUAGUCCAUGUUAUUGCAUUUGAGUCUAGAACUUGCCCGGAAUAUGAAGUAACGCGAAAUCCUAGGUGUUGCUCGAUUUGAAAAGUGAAUUAAAGUGAAAUCCUCGUGAGAUAAUUCCAUAUAUUUUUAUGUUAUUUACCCUACUUGCUUGUUGUUUGGAUGCUAAUUUGUGCGACAAUUGCGCUUAAUAGAGCUUAUUUACGUGUAGGAAUGCUUGAACAUGAAUUGGAGAAAAGUGGCACGAUAUGGUACCUCGGAGCUACAAAAUGGAGCAAUAAAAGAAGACGUGCAAGGAAAUGAAAAGUCAUGGCCAUAGACAGUGCAAGGUAUUGUCUAGGGCAUUAUCAUUGGCUCCCCAAACAAUGCCUCACGCAGAAACAAUGGCGCCAUAGAUAGUGCCUCGCGCAGAAAUAUUGGUGCCCCAGACAGUGCCUCGUGCCGAUGAUGGCAUCCGAGCAAAUUUUAAUUCCUCACUAGUUUUGGACAUGUAGACUUCGGCCCCUACCCUAUAAAUACCUCUUAAAGUUAGUUUUUGAAGGGUUAGACAUCAUUAGAGAGGCAAGAGGCUAUGGAAUACUUUGGAAGCACGAAUCACUCGAGUUUUUCUCCCCGCUUUCCUUUUAUUUCUAGUUUAAUGCUCUUAGAUAUUACUAUGAUUAUCUACAUAAUUAUGAGUAGCUAAACCCGUCAUCUACGGUUGAUGGAACCAAUUGUUGGAUGAAGUCUUGAUUGCAUUUUGAUAUAAUGGAGCCGUUUUUACUCUUUAAUUGUUCGACUAUGUAUUUCUUGUGGUUAAUUGAAGGCCCCUUGAUUAAUCGUGUCUAGUUAUCUUGUGUUUCUUGAGAAAGAACACUUUGAUUAGAUUGUAUGUUGAACAACGCCACUUUCGAGUAAGCUAAGAUAUUAAUUAUUCGAAUUUAAAAGCAGGAUUAGAGAUAACGAAGUUUUGGCGAAAAUACUUCUAGUAAAUUAUCGUAAUUGAUCAAGAUAUAAUUGCGGUAAACAAGAACUCAUUAUCUUUAGAGAGUGUUAUGGCGAGAUUAUAGCUAGCGUGUCUGGAAUUAAUCCGACAAUUGGGGAAAUCGUAAACCCUAGAUCCUUUUAUCCUUGAAUUCAACCUCAUUCUUGCUAAUUGAUAGUUUUUAUUGUCAUUUUUCCUUAGUUAAGUAAUUUUUGUUAAUUCAAAAAUCAAAUCUUGAACUCUGAAAGUUGUCUAAGCUUAUUAUUAGUGAUACUGGAAAGUUGUAGCAAAUAGGUUAGUUCCCUGUGGGAUUCGACUCCGGACUCUUGAAUCAGAUAUUUUUACAGCGAUCGCUUAGUCCUUUUUAUAAGGCAUAGUUGGGCGUGAUCAGCUCUCUAAGUCCAAAAUCACCAUACGGAGCUAUUGGAACCGUCAAAACUCCAUUCCGGAGUCGUCUACACAAAAGUCAAACUGUAGUUAACUGUUUUUAUUUAAGCCUCCAACUUAGGGACUAUGUGUCCCAUUUCACUCUAAAACGCACCCGAAACCAAAACCAAACAUCCCUGGCAAGUCACAUAACCAUGAUACAACAUACAAGAGGCAAUAAAUAGGGGACCGGGGCUAAAAUACUCAAAAUAACCGGCUGGGUUGUUACACUAUUGUUGGCUUGCCUAGCAAGUGAAAUGUUAGGCGCCAUCAUGGUCUCGAGGGUGGGAUUCUAAGUCGUGAUAAGUUGGUGUCAGAGCACUAGGUUUCCUAGGUCUGACGAGUCAUGAGCAAACUUAGUAUAGUCUAGAGGAUCGGUACGGAGGCGUCCGUACUUAUCUUCCAGAGGCUAUAAGGCUUUAGGUAAAUUUCACUUCUUUCUUUCUUUAUCGUACGAUUUUAUUCUAUCAUUGAUGUUUGAAUCAUUCCAUUCUUGUUCUCUCAUAGAUGAUGAGAACAUGCACAACAUCUAUAGCUGGGCAGGAGCCGGAUCCCCUUGUUGUAGCCACUAUUAGGGGUAGGGGUAGGGGCCGAGGCAGAGGCAGAGCUCAGCCUAGAGCACGUGCAACAUCACCCACUGUGGAGACUUAAAUUGAUAAUGAGGAGGAGAUCCAAGUUCAAACAAUGGCCGUAGAUAUUGUUAGAUGGAUCGAGAUGAUUUGUAGUCAGGAUAGAGAGGCGGUAUCUGAGAAGAGAACUUGUCAGUUUGAGGGUUUCAGUGGUGCCUCAUCUGGAGGUAGUGGUUCUUUUGGUAGAGGCCAUCUUCCUAGGCUGAUUCAGUCAGCACUCCAAGCAUCCCAUGGGGCUUCAAGCAGUUGUGGUUCACAUGUUUAUUGUCUGGAGCAGCCAGCAUUCAGUGCACCUUCAGAUUCUAUUAAUGCACCACCGCUAUAGGGUUACUAUAGUGGUUAUCCGGUCUGUUAGGGUCAGUCUCUACUUCAGUAGACUCAGCAGUCAAGAGAGUUCUUUGAGUGUGGAGGUACAUGUCACAUUAAGUAAUAUUGUCCUAGAUUGAUGAGUAUCAGACCUCAAUAGGGUUCUCGUGCCAUUAUGCCGGCACUGGUUGCUUUACCGCCCGCACAACCAGCUACAUGCAGGGGUCAGCCAGCUAGAGCUGGAGGUUAGGCCAUUAGAAGUGGAGGCCGGCUAGCUAGAGGCCAUCUGAGAGGUGUAGGUUAGAGUAGUGGGGCCCAACCCUAUUUUUAUGUAUUUCUAGCCAGGCUUGAGGCAGAGUCAUCUGACGCCGUCAUCACAGGUAUUGUUUCGGUUUUCCAUAGGGAUGCCUCAGUCUUAUUUGAUCCAGGCUCUACCUAUUUAUACGUGUCACCCUAUUUUGAUUUAUAUCUGGUUAAUUUUUCGUGAUUCUUUGAGUGCUCCUGUCUAUGUGUCCACGCUUGUGGGAGAUUCUAUUGUAGUAGAUCAUGUUUAUCGUUCGUGUGUGGUUUCUAUCGGGAUCCUUGAGAAUAGUGUAGAUAUUCUACUUCUUGAUAUGGUGGACUUUGAUAUUAUUUUGGGCAUGGAUUGUUGUCACCUUAUCACGCUAUUUUGGACUGUCAAGCCAAGAUGGUGACUUUAGCCAUGCCGGAGUUGCCUCAAUUUGAGUUGAGAGGGACUCUUGGCCAUUUUACUAGCAGGGCUAUUUCUUAUGUAAAGGCUCGACAUAUGGUCAAGAAGGGAUGUCUAGCAUAUUUGGCCUAUAUCCGUGAUCCUAGUGCGGAGGUUCCUUCCAUGGAUUCAGUACCAGUUGUGCGCGAGUUUCCAGAGGUGUUUCCUGUAGAUUUGUUGGGGAUGCCACCCGAUAGAGAUAUUGACUUAUGUAUUGACUUGGCUCCGGCACUCAACCCAUUUCUAUUCCACCAUACUGUAUGACCCCAACUGAGUUGAAGGAACUGAAGGAGCAAUUGCAGGAUGUGCUUGAAAAGGAUUCAUUAGACCUAGUGUCUCUCCCUGGGGUGCAUCAGUGUUGUUUGUAAAGAAGAAGGAUGGUUCGAUGAGGAAGUGUAUAGAUUAUCGGCAGUUAAACAAAGUCACUAUCAAGAACAAGUAUUCGUUGCAUAGGAUUGAUGAUUAUUUGAUCAGCUUCAGGGUGCCAAAGUGUUUUCAAAGAAUGAUUUGAGAUAUGACUACCAUCAGUUGAAGAUUAGGGCAUCGGAUGUCCCUAAGACAGCGUUUCAGACUCGGUAUGGUCAUUAUGAGUUCCUAGUGAUGUCAUUUGGCUUGACAAAUGCCCAACAACAUUUAUGGAUUUGAUGAACUAGGUAUUCUAGCCUUACUUGGAUUCUUUUGUGAUCGUCUUCAUUGAUGAUAUUUUGGUUCACUCCCGUAGUUGAGAGGAGCAUGAGCAGCAUCUGUGGAUCGUACUUCAAACUCAGAGAGAUAGUAAGUUAUAUGCCAAGUUUUUGCAGUUGAGUUUUGGUUGGAUUCGGUUGCCUUUAUGGGCAAUGUUGUAUCUUCCGAGGUCAUUAAAGUGGAUCCUAAGAAGAUUGAAGCAGCUCAGAACUAGCCUAGACUUAUUUCAGCUAUAGAGAUUCGGAUCUUCUUGGGUUUGGCAGGUUAUUAUCGCCGAUUCGUGGAGGGGUUUUCAUCUAUCUCAACCCCAUUGACCAAGUUGAUCCAGAAGGGUGCUCUUUUUAGAUGGUCCGAUGAGUGUGAGUUGAGUUUUCAGAAUCUCAAGACUGCUUUGACCACAACUCCAAUUCUAGUUUUGCCGUUAGCAUCAGAUUCAUAUGUAGUUUAUUAUGAUGCUUCACGGAUUGGCAUCAGAUGUGUCUUGAUGCAGGAGGGUAGGCUGAUCGCUUAUGCUUUGCGUCAGCUAAAGGUUCACGAGAAGAACUACCCCGUUCAUAAUCUAGAGUUGACAGUUAUUGUUCAUGCAUUGAAGAUUUGGAGGCACUACCUUUACGGCAUGCCGUGUGAGGUAUUCAUGUAUCAUUAGAGUCUACAACACUUCUUUAAGCAAAAUGAUCUAAACUUGAGGAAGCGGAGGUGGUUAGACCUAUUAAAAGACUAUGAUAUUACUAUUUUGUACCAUCGCGGGAAGACCAAUGUGGUGGUCAAUGCCUUAAGCAGAAAGGCUGAGAGUAUGUGUAGCCUUGCGUGGUUUCUCGGUCUUCUUUGUAUGAGCGCAUCAGAGAGCGUCAUUAUGACGACCCCAUUUUCUUAUCCAUAAGGACACAAUGCAACACGGCGAUACCAAGGAGGUUUCUAUUGGAUAUUAUGGGGUGUUGCGGAUGCAGGGUCGGAUUUGUUUGCCCAAUAUGGAUGGGCUUCGUGAGUUGAUUCUUGAGGAGGCCCACAGUUCGUGAUAUUCCAUUCAUCCGGGUGCCGCCAAGAUGUAUCAGGAUUUGAGACAGCAUUAUUGGUGGAGAAAAAUGAAGAAAAAUAUAGUAGAGUAUGUGGCUCGAUGUUUGAAUUGUCAACAGAUAAAAUACGAGUAUCAGAGGCCGGGCGGUUUGCUUUAGAGUCUUGAGAUUCCAAUGAUUUGGUUUGAGCCGGGAGAGGCUAGGUUGUUGGGUACUGAUUUGGUUCGGAAUGCCUGGAAGAAAAUCAAGUUGAUUUAGGAUCAACUUCAUACAGCCAAGUCUAGGCAGAAGAGUUAUGCUGAUCGGAGGGCUCGUGAUGUAGCAUUCAUGCUGGGAGAGAGGAUUUUGUUAUGGGUUUCACUCAUGAAGGAUGUGAUGAGGUUCGGGAAGAAGGGAAAGUUGAGCCCUAGGUAUAUUGGUCCUUUUGUAAUCCUUGAGAGAGUUGGUGAGGUGGCCUACAAACUUGCAUUAUCACCCAACUUAUCGGCAGUUCACCCGGUGUUCCAUGUUUUCAUGCUUCGGAAGUAUCACGGUGAUCUGUCCCAUAUAUUAAAUUUGAGCUAUGUCCAAUUGGACAAGGAUUUGACUUAUGAGGAGGAGUCGGUGGCAAUUCUAGCCCGGUAGGUUCGGAAGUUGAGGUCUAAGAGUUAUCCUUCUGUGAGAGUGCAGAGUAGAGGUCAGCCGAUCGAGGAAGCUACGUGGGAGUCCGAGUUUGAUAUGCAGAGUAGAUACCCAUACAUUUUCAUCAGUUCAAGUACUUUUCUAUGUCCGUUCGAGGACAAACGUUUCUUUUAGAGGUGGAGAAUGUGAUGACCCGAUAGGUCAUUUUGAGUACUAGCCCUUAUUUUUGUGUUCCGAGACCUCUAUUAGCUCCAUUUGAUGUUCCUCGAGUUGCAUGCAUAGUCUGUGUCUUUUUUCCGAAAAGUUUUUUACGUAAAAAAUUGAAGCAAAUAUGAUUUUUUAGCUUUAAAACAACUUGAAUUGACUACGAUCAAUAUUUUUUGAAAAUGACCCAGGAUCGGUAUUUUGACGAUUUUGAUAGGUCUGUAUUGUGAUUUUGGACUUAGGCGUAUGCCUGAAAUUGAAAUCAGAGGUCCCUAGGGUGAUUUGACUCAUUUUGCCAAAAGCUUGUAAAUUGAAGGUUUGGAAAUUUCCUAGGUUCGACCGAAGGUUGACUUUAUGAUUAUCGGGUUCGGAUUUUGGUUACGGGACUUGGUAUAUGUCUGUUUUGCUAUUUGAAACUUGUCUGCAAAAUUUGGUGCAAAUCGGAGGUUGUUUGAUUUGAUGCGGACGCUUGGUUGUGAUUUUAGAAGUUCUUGAGUGUUCUUUGAAAUUUCAUGCAUUUUGACGUCUGAUUCGUGGUUCUAGGAGUUAUGUUGGUGUUUUGAUUAUGCGAGCGAGUUCGUAUGGUGUUAUUGCACUUGUUUGCUUUGUAAGGCCCCGUACAGUUUUGCCAAGAAAUUUAAGGUUUCGUGGUGUCGAGGUAGGCUAAUGGGUUUGAGGAUUGUAGAAAACGAGCCAUGGUAUGUACUUUUUGGGUUGAAGAAUACACUAAAGUGUUGAUGGGAAUUUUUGGCAGAAGAAGGCGAUUCUGCGGUCAAUUUCGCGAUCGCAGAACGGUUCCGCGGACCGCAUAGGCAUCGCAAAGUGGAGCAGAGAAUGGGCAAAUUUUGAAAAACAGUUCUGUUGGCCGCAUAAUCAUUUUGCUGGUUGCAGAAAAAUUCUGCUGCCUACAUAACCAUUCUACUAUCCACAUAAUCGAUUCUUCUGCCCACAAAAUGAUUUUGCUGCUCACAUAACGAUUUUGCUGCCCAUAUAACGAUUCUGCUACCACAUAAUUGACUCCGGGGAUCAUUUUGGAAAAUUUCUUAUCCGACCCUUUUGAUAUAAGACCUUAGGGGGUCAUUUUACAAGGUAAAAUCUGAUUUUUUUGAGAGAGGAGAGAACUAUUUUAGAGAGAGAAGGCGAAGACCUAGCAUGCUAAUCAUUUCUUCUUGCCCCAAUCUUCAAGAAUCAAGGAAUCCAAUCACAAGAUCUUCAUCUAAGAGGUAAGGUUCUACUCCCUAGCCCAAAAUUUUAGGAUUUGGACUAAAAGUAGGUCAUGAGAAGUAUGAUUCUUAGAUUUGGGAGGUACUCUUUAUGGAUGAAUGUACCUAUAAGGGUGGUAGGGAGGUUGUCGAACUAAAUUGGGUGAAUGAUUUGUUGUGGUAUGAAAGGAUUCCACCAUAGAAACCUUGUAGUGUAAUUUGCACACCUAGUGCUUGAUGAAAUGCCUAAGUGAGCUGAAACCAUGGAUCUCUCCUUAAUUAUGGUUCAAUUUUGUUAUAUCUCUAGUUGAUUGGAAUUGCUAGAAGUGUUGGGAUGUUGUGGUAAUCUAAGGGAAGCUCAAGCAAGGUAUGUUGGCUAAACUUCUCUCUUAAAAUUGAAUCCCACGAUGUUCUUGUAAGUCCCGAGUUGUUCAUUAUAAAUUGACUAUUCCGAAUAAGCUUUGUGCCGAAAGAGAUAUGUUCAAUAUGUGUUCCGAAUGCUCUUAUCAUGUAAUGUUAUCUUUCGGGAAUGCGUUCAAAGUAUGGGUUGUGUAUUAAAAUGUUAUGGUUUUGAGUCGUUUUUCAAAUGAAAGUUAUGAUGCCAAAUUGUGUGAGAAAAACUCGAUGUGCUUAAGACUCUUAAUUGGUCAUAUGUGUAUCUAAGGUCUAGAUUAGAAAUGCCUUGUUGUUGAUAACCCAUAAAGAUGAUGAAAAGUGAAAGAAGUGGGUUGGAGAUGUAAAGUGUGGCUACCGUGCCAAUAAUAAAAGUUAUAUUUGUGGCCAAUGGUGCCAAUGAAAUGAAAUUAUGCGAGAACGGUUAUGAAAUGAGCCUUGAUUCAACUGCUCCAAAUUGACUUCGAAAAUAGAUUUGCCUAAAAGCUUAUGUGCUCAAGUCAUGCCCAAAGGUGGUUGUUUUAACUAAUUCUAUGCUUUGUAAGUAUUUCCAAUGUGGUUUGAGCUCUUACAUAAUCAUGAGUUGAAACUGUGUAUUGCCCUUUUGGGGAAAAGUAUUUCAAGAAUAAAUGGUGUGUUACUCGUUUAUGAUUUUAACUUGCACUUUGAUUGCCAAUCAUUUUACUUCACUUCUUGGAAAGAAAUCUAUUGUGUUUAAAGCCUUCAUUACUAAUGAACCUAAAGUUGUGAUUUUCGGAAUAUUCUAUAUGUUGAUAUUUAUGAUGACGAUCCAUGAAAGGAAAGAUAUGAAAGUGUGGAAUAUAAAAUAUGGCCAUUGUGCCAUGAAAGAAGAAUCAUAUGUAAGGCCAAGAGAGCCAAUGAAAUAAUGAUGUUGUAAGUGGUUGAAAGUACGAAUGAAGUGAUAUAUGGUGUGGAAGGUUAUGAGAUGAACGUAUUUGUACUUUUGUUUCCAAUGUGUUAUAAGCUCCUACAUUCUCAUGAGUAAAGGCUAUGGUGUUCCUAAAUGUUUUAAAUGCUCUUAAUGUUCUAUGAUCACCCAUGGCAAGUACAAGUAAGUGAUAGUAUGAACAUAAAAUGUGACCGCUUGCCAAGAUGAGAAUUAUGAGGCAUUGUAUGUUUCAAUGGUUUCAAUCAUUGUAUGUAUGCUUCUAAAAUAAUAAAUGCAAAUGACUUCGAUGUUAAGUACCCAAGAAUUAUGAACCUAGCUAAUGACCUCAAGAUGACAAGUGAGUGAAUAACGAGAUGAAAGGGAGAUGUCCUAUGCUAAAUGAUGAUGAACCUUAAAAAAGGAAAUUGGGCUCAUGUGCCAUUGAAAUCGACUUAUUGAUUCACCAUGCAUGUGCUAAUGUAAUGAGUUAUGUUUAUCCAUGAUGAGCAUGAACAUGAAGUAUUCCAAUGAUACGGGAAAUUACGACCUUAAAUGUAAUGUUAAUCAUGUCGCUUUGAGUUUAUAUAUGGUUAUGUGCAUAAUGAUGUGUUAUGAACCCUAUGGACGGUCUAUGAAAUGCAUAGGUGUAUUGUAUAUGUGAUCCUAUAGACGGGCUAUGAAACGCAUAGGUGUAUUGUAUAUGUGAUCCUAUGGACGGUCUAUGAAAUGCAUAAGUGUAUAGUGUAUGGAAUCCUAUGGACGGUCUAUAAAACACAUAGGUGUAUUGUAUAUGUGAUCCUAUGGAUGGGCUAUGAAACGCAUAGGUGUAUUGUAUAUGUGAUCCUAGGGACGGUCUAUGAAACGCAUAGGUGUAUUGUGUAUGGAAUCCUAUGGACGGUCUAUGAGACGCAUAGGUGUAUUGUGUAUGGAAUCCUAUGGACGGUCUAUGAGACGCAUAGGUGUAUUGUGUAUGGAAUUCUAUGGACGGUCUAUGAAACGUAUAGGUGUAUUGUGUAUGGAAUCCUAUGGACGGUCUAUGAAACGCAUAGGUGUAUUGCGUAUGAAAUGUAUAGGUGUAUGAUAUGAAUAAACACUAUGGACGGUCUAUGAGAUGCAUAGGUGUAUAAUAUGAUAUGUGAACACUAUGGACGGUCUAUGAGAUGCAUAAAUGUAUGAUAUGAUAUGUGAACACUAAGGACGGUCUAUAAAAUGUAUAGGUGUAAAAUAAGAGAGGGAUAUGGAUGGUCUAGUGAGACGUAUUGUUAACGCAGACAAUAGGUGCCACUUUCAUUGCCCUUAUUUGUACAUGUUGUUUCAAGUACAUUAUAUUAUGUAUUCCACGUAUAGUUCAUAUGGCUCAAUUGAUCACAAAGGAAUUUCAAAAUGAUGUAAGUAAAAUAAGUCUUGAAAUUUGAUUCUAUGGGAUGUUUCGUAGUUUCUUGAUGUACUUUAUUUGCCUCUUAUUUGAAUUAACAUAUUUUCAUAUGUUGUUUUGUCUGCCUUAUAUACGAGUACUAUUCCACAUGUACUCACAUACCUUUUGCCGGGGGUGCUUCAUCUUUUAAUGGUUGCAGGUAUACUUAUAUUGGAUGAUAUGGAUCUUUGAUAGGGAUCUGCUUCACUACUCAGAUUAUGGUGAGCCCACUACAGUUAUAGUAGGUGUUUGGGUCUAGUUCAUUUUAUGUAUUUAGGUACUUAUAGUCAUAGAAGCUCCAUGUACAUUGUGGGUCAUGUAAUUAAUGAUUUGAGUUUUGUCAUGUAUUUACGUUCAUAGUUAUUUAUAAGGCUACGCACCCAUCAUGAGAAAGAUUAUAGGCCAUUGAGCCAAAUGUAUUCAAUUUAAAAGUCAGGAUCUAGUUAUGUUAUGGUAAAUCAUGCAUGAGUAAUGAUGAGAGGUUGAUGUAAAGUAGACUUGCUCGACUGGAUUUACUCGGUUGAGCGCCGGUCGUACUCCUCGAGUUCGGGGCGUGACACUAUUAGCACGACAACACCCAAAGAAGUAAUCCAUACAUCUAAGCAACCGAGUGAAUCCUUUUCUUGGUAUAUUACAUCAACCACGAAUAGUAACCCUAAACCAUUCCCAAGACUUCCAUAUAUCCAUAAGGGGUAAUACAUCAUGUAUCCAGAAAUUCCUUACUACAGUCAUCCUCAAAACCAACCUCUGUGAGUCAUAACCGACCCACAAGUAUGCCUAAGAUCGAAACCAAUACAACACAUAACCAUGCAAUCAAAUCGUCGAUGGCAAACUCCCCUACUUGGCUCAAAGCCAUAGAAUAGAACAUCUAAUAACUCCCAAUACCCAUAACACCCCCCCCCCCCAGUGAUAUUCAACUAAAUCCUUCACAAGCUCCUACAACACAACCCAUAAAAUACUUCAAACCAUCCGCUAACACAAUAUAUCAAUCCUAUAUUCCAAUGGUAUUGAGUCUAUCAUGAAUGAAUAUAAUACGGUAUUUAACUAAGAAAGACCGUUAAAUAUAUUCCUAUCCUAACCGUGAAAUCUUUCCUCGAGCCACAGGUUCAUAAACAAGCUCUCUUUAAUUCUACUCUAAUCUAAACACAGCUUUCCCAAGCAGCAUAGAUAGUAUGGUGAAUUGGUAGCUACAACAAUUCACAAGUUAAAACUAGAAUUAAAGAAACAACCACAAGAUGAUAAUCCAAAUUAAUGAAGAUGUACUUAAUAAACAUUAAUAAUCAUGUCAACCACAACCCUAUAAACUAGAGUGCUUAGCCACUCAUGUUCGUAGUAACAACGUUCCAAGUAUUUUGCAGAAACAAAUUACAAAGAAAAGAUGAAGGAAUGAAAAACUCGAUGAUUUUCUCUUCAAAAAAAUGUUCCCAAUGUCUUCUCUCCUUCCAAAAUAGUCUUCUUAGGUCUACGGUAUGUCAGAAGUCCUCAAAAUAACGUUUUUACAUGUAUUUAUACCAAGUAGGGUUGACCAAGAUGAAAUCUCCCUUUCCUAGCCGAAAUAUGAAAACUUGCAAACUUAUUGCUUUUCAUGCGACACACUGUGCGUCGCCCCAUGCAUCGCACUAGUACUUUUUCCUGUCAGACCAAAAAAACCCAGUCUCUGAACUUUGGAAAUUUCUGACAUAAAAUUACUCUAAUGCGUCGCACAGUGCAUCGCACAGUGCCUCGCACUAGUGCAUUUCUUCAGCAGUUGCUUCUUCCUUGAAUUUUGACAUCCAGAAUUGAUUCUCGACCCCCGAACACGAUCCCAGCUUAAUCCCUUGGGCUUUUACUCAAACUUCAAAGCUCCAAAUAGCUCGAAUUCAUUCCAUAUCAUCUACAUAGCUCAGAAUCACUCCUACAAGGCAUAAAACACGGAAUUAGUGCAAAACACUAGCGAUUAAAGCUCAAACUCAAUUAAAGUGUAGCAAAUUAGAGUAUAAUAAGCGACUAAAAUACGUAAUUAUAUCCUACAAUCAACACCCCACACUUAAAUCAUUGCUCGUCCUCGAGCAAUCAAACUACACUUUAUAUAGACACAACCUUUUUAAACAAUUCUCCUAACUCAUCAUACCAAGAAUCUUUAAAAUAGACUAAGCACAAUAGUGUAACAUCUUCACCUCAAGAUUUGACUCACAAGUAUCAUGCAUUAUUCACAACUCACGUACUUACUCUAACAUAGAGGUCAAUGAUAUUACCUUUCAUUCAUGAAUCAAGUGCCCUCACACAACAAAAGAGAGUAGUUCCACGCAUAAUAAAAUUUAAGAACAAUUAGGAACUCAAGAUAGAAAGAAUUCACUCGUUCUCAGAAAUAACAUUCAUAUGCCACAAAAGAUGCACCAUAGGCUUGCCCGUAGUGUACUACUCUACUAAUCGAGCUCAUUCAGUCUAGGAUCAAGUAGGACUUUAAUUGGUUGUAAUGUAUGCUGCGGGUCGGGUAGGAUACAUUUGGAUAUAAGAGUGACUACACCUCCCUAAGAACUUUAAUACAUACACUUUAACAUUUAAAACCCCACACUUAUGUCAAACCAUAACUCCAUAUUCACAUCAAUGUAUAUUAACUCCUUACUUCUUUAAGCACAAUUACAUCAAGAGUCACCACUAUCAAGGAAUAUUUUUCACAACAAUAUAACUAUUUUUUUUCUUUAUUUUUCAAUUCAAGUGGCUCUUACUUUUUCAAAAUAGUGCACCUUUCUCCUUAUUUCAUUACUUUAACUUUUACAAAGUUCAUUACAAUUCAAGUGCUCAUGAGAGAUAAAAAAGUUCAAAUAAAUGGUUAAUUCAAACAAAUGGGUAAGGCUCGUAAUGUGGUUGCCAAAUAAAUAGGAUUACUUUCUCAAAGGGUUAACUAUUAUACAUAACAAUCAGGCGGGUAAAACAUAUAACUGGUUCAACAAAGAAAUGACUAUAUCACUUCCAAGACUGAACAAAACUACUAUUUUGCUUUGCAAACACACGGGGCAAGUUCUAGACAUCAAAUGCAAUGCACAGAAUAACACACAAACCUCACACACACAUGGCACAUAACUCACUCAAUAUUGGACUCAUCAAGACACUCUAGUCAAAGUAGUUAAGCAAAGUUAAGAUCAUACAAUUUAAGAUACUUAUACAAGAGUCAAAAACUGAGCAUAAGCGUCACAACCAAAGUACUCACUAUUCUCAAGGCUUAACAAAGUCAAGAGAUAUUGCUUCAAUUAAAUUCAUAGCACAAUGGUUCCUACUCCUAAAAAAAUAAAACUAACUAUACCUGAUUCUAACAAAAUCCUUAGAAAAGAACUGUGGCACAAAGAAAAACCAAGAGGAAAUUAUUACACUACCUAACAAAAGAAAAUCUUUUUGUCUUUUUCCUUUCGACUUAAAUCCCUCAAGAAACCCGUCGAAUGAGAUCCAUCGUCGGGAAAAGUCCAACUUUUCUACUUUUUUGCUAUUUUUUUUAUUUCUUAGGAGCUACUAAAAUACUACACAACUACGAAAACAAAAAUAAGAAGUUAACAUUUAUCUAACAUACUACUACUAAUUAUCUAGAGAAAUUCUCCCACCCCAUACUUAAACAAAACAAUAACAAGGGUGGACAAGAAACUCCCUAAAAGGCCAAAGGCCGAAGCAAUAGCGGCUUACGGGGUACUCAGACUUCCCCCAGGCAUGGUCCUUUGUGCGGGUACCCCACACUUAGUUCUCACCAUCUUGCUCGCUUUUGCACUCAUCCAAUGGCUUCGCUUCCUAUGCUUCGAAUCCUACAAAAUAAAAAUAGACACUAGAAAAAUAAUAUAAUAAAAAUAAAAAUAAAAGAAAGAACUAAAGCUGGGUUGCCUCCUAACAAGCACCUGAUUUAACGUCGUGGCACGACACAGAAUCUCGUUUAAUCAUUGGUAAGUAACACCUUCGACUUCUGACGAUCAAAGUCACCUCCAUAAUAGUGCUUUACUCUUUGUCCAUUUACUAAGAAUGUUUUCUCACCACCUAAGACACGCAACUCAAUUGCACCAUGUGGAGUGACUCUCACUACCUCAAACGAGCCCGACCAUCUU